rnacentral:lncRNA from 1 species
UGAGAGAGAAGCUGCCAAACCGACCCAACUACAGACCCGAAAACCCGACCCGGAACCCGCGACCUUGACCCGGCCAUAACUCCCAUUUUCGGCCACUGUUUCGGCCGAGCUUGGUACCAAUAUGAAGCUUAGAAGCCGACCGUGGUUCCCCUGCCAUCCUCGCCGCCGAAAACGAACCGGAAUGCCGGCGAUCGAAGCUUGAAACCCGCGACUGUUUCACUUUACUCCGCCGGGAUUUUUGCUGGUUUUGGGUGACACCACCGGUUGGAUUUUGUUCCUCAUGACUCCCUCUUCCAUUUCCGACCAUCCAUAGGCAUCGAGAGUCACUGUUUUGCCGCCGGUUAAUUGUUGGAAUUCACGGCUGCUGAGCUAGAUUCCGGUGUCGUUGCCGCGCGUUGGAACUCACCGCCGGUACCAUUGAACUCAGCGUGAUUGGAACUUUCAGAUUUGAGCUUCCUAGCCCGCGUUGACCAAAUUCCGGUGACCGCUGACCGGUGAGGGCAUUUUGGUAAUUUCACACUAUGAGGGCAAUUUUGUAAUUUCUGAGCCUGUGGAUAUUUUAGUAAUUCCUAGAAUUGAGGAUUGGGUGUAAUUACGAUUCCAAGGGUAAUUCAGUGAUUUACGAUUUCGGAGCAUGUUAAUGAUCUACGGACUCAAGGGCAUUUUAGUAAUUUUAUGGACACGGGAGUUGUCAAUUAUGGAUAGAUGUUCGUUUCGAGUUUAUUGCAUAAAAUUUAGUCAUAAUUCCGAUUUACGGAAAAUAAUUAUGUCGUUUUCUUGAUUUAGGAGGAUCCGCGAGCGAGAACCGGUCCGCGGACGUGGACAAUAACCGACCUUGAACACCGUCACUGUGAGUGAAAUAUACAAAACAUAUUUUCAUGAUAGUAAAGCAUAUUGUUUUUGUUAGGACAUCUUGGUUAUCUCGUCUUGUUGGGAUUGUACAAUUUUUGUUAUAUUAUUCUUUUCAGAUUAAGAAUAAAUUGAGAUAUUAAUAUUAGUUAUAAUAUUAUCUUUUGAGAUUCUGGAGAUAUAAAACUUAGCAUUUAGUUGAGGAUGUUGAUCACUGAAGUUUGUUUUAUAUUGAAUUGUAUUGGGAGUGUUAUAUUCAUAUUUGUAGAUUGGGAGUGUUAUAUAUAUAAAGGAGACUCUGUCGAAUUUUCGGCCGAAUCUUUAUUAAUAGAAUUUUUAUCAAGUCCGUUUUGAUGAGACUAGAUAGACUCGCCUGGGGGGGAUUCGGGGCGGGUCGUUUUAACUUAGCAUUUUCUUCAAGAUAAAUAUGAUGCGUGCAAUCUACUAGAUUAAUAAUUUUUAAUAACAGUAAUGGUCUACCCUAUUGUCUUUUUGUGCUCUUGUAGAAUACCCAAUUGCUCCGAAUUGAGGGAAGAAGAAAUAAUACUAGGUAAGGUGUCAGAUUCUCCUAAGAAUGCAUAUUUCAGAGUGUCAGAUAGUGCUUUAAGUUCCAUUUUGGUGGUGACGCUGCAGAUGACUAAUCUUAUUCUCAAAUGAGGCAGUGGUUUCUAGCUUUGUCUUCUAUUUGACUGUGUCCAUAAUUGGAGUUGCAUCUAGUAAGACAUUGACUUUUAUAAUUACAAUGUCAUCAUUAGAAGAUAAACUAGAGUGAGUUAAACAUAUUUCUAAUGGAUCAUCACUGUGGUUAGAAAUAAAUGAAUCUUCUACCAAUUCUUCUAUCAUAUUUGCAUCAAUAAAUUCAUCUUUUUCACGUGGCUACUUGGUGGCAUUAAAAAUAUUUAAUUCCUUAGUGAUAUUACCAUGGAAUUAAUAUUUAGUUCUUCUAGCAUAUCUGCAUAACAAAUUCCUCUUCUUUAUGCAGUUGUUUGGUAAUAUUAAAAAUAUUUAAUUCUAUGGUCAUAUUACCAUGGUUCUGGUCAUUUGUUAGCAGCGCUAGUGGCUGUAGUGUGGACGUGGGUGUGUGUGAGUGAAUGCUUUAACGAUAGAUAUAAGAAGUCAAGAAAGCAAAGGGGAUUACCAAAUGCUAUAGCGUGGGCAUGGGCAUCUCUAAGCGAAUGCAUCGAUUAAAAAAAAGAAGUCUAGAAAGAGAAGGAGAAUUAGGGAUUGCAUUCGGGCGCGUACACACACACACACACACACUGGUUGGUGAGAACAUUGGAUGAAAACAAAGUUGCUAGAAUGCUAUUUCGGAAGGGUCGCUUCAAGGGGAGGCGAAACCAGAUAUGGUUUUAGAUUCAAAAGCGAAGGAAGCAACUAUGGCCUACAGUUAAGGGAAGCCACAAGGGAAUUUCUCAUACACUGUAGUGUGGCUACUAGUUCCUGCAUGUAUUGGUGUCUGGGGGAAUCGCUCUUACUGGGUUGGUUCGUCUGGGAAUAAGCUAACCCCUACCAAGCAAACUCCGGCUUCAGCGCCUUAACGAAAAUAAUGUAGUCAGAUAGUCCUGAGGUAGCCACAGGUUACACUGGCAUUUGCUUCAACCUAAGCAAGACGAAUUUUUGUGAUAUAGUGAUCCAUACUCUCUGUCGGGGGGCUUGGGCCUGGCGACCUAGUCUCUGUCCACCAAACCAAUAUCAAAUAUCUUUGUUGGGGACCUAGGCUUGUCCCGAAGUGUACGUAGGGAUUCUCAACUCUUCGAUUGCGGUAGGGUAGAAAUGGUCUAUGAAAAGUCUAUCAAACCACCACAAAAAAAAAAAGGCAAUGACUCUUUCAGAUAAAAAAUGAAUCUUCUAAUUAUAUAUAUAUGCACUAUUAAGUUUUUUAAUAUGAUAUUUAUAUCUUCAUGCUAUAGUCUAGUGGUUUGUGGUCCAAAUGUAAAAGUUUUGAGUUUCAGAAGUCUUAGGAUUGAGUUGGAAUUAAAACAAAUUCUAUACUAAUAUUUUUUUUAAACUUUUGAUACUUCAGUGUCAGUUAUUUUUUAUGUUUAAUUUGUUGAUAUACUAGUAAUAUUAAUUUGUGAUACUUUUUUUUUAAAUGCUGAAAAUGGUAAUUUUAAAUUAUUUAAUUCCAUGGUCAUGUUACCAAAGGGUAGUUGCAUAUUUCCAUUUUUAUAAUUAACAAGAGUAUUAGCUGUAACUAAGAAAUGACGACAUAGAAGAAUUUGAGUGUGUUUCUUAUUAAGAUCUUGUAGAAGCUGAGCAUUAAUAACAAUAAAAUUAAUAGCAUAAUAAAAUUUUUCAAUCAGUACCAACACAACCUCAACGGUACCAGGAAUUAUUUUCAUUAACUUAUUAGUAAGUUGAAAAACAAUAAAGUUGAGUUUAAUUCACCUAAUCGAAGCUGCAUGUACGUAGAAUAUGGAAAGAGAUUAACCCUAGCUCCUAAAUCCAGUAAUGUUUUAUCAAACAACUGAUUCCUUAAACACAUGAUAUAGAAGGGCUAGACAUUUAAAUUUUGGUGGCAUUUUACAUUAAAGUAAAUCGCUAGUUUGUUUAGUUAAAAAUGCCUUCUUGGUAACAUGGAAUUUCUCUUUUAGUGCACAUAUUUAAAAACUUGCCAUAAGAGGGAAUUUGCUUAAUACUAUUGAGAAAAUGGAUGUGUAUACUUACCUACUUGAAGAUUUCAAUAAUCUCGCUUAUUGAAGUCUCUUUCUUUAACUUUUUUGACCUUUGAGGAAAAAGAGCAUUAUGAAUGUACACUGGUGGUCUAUUUUCUUUUGGAUCAUUUAGUGAUGACUCAUUUGGUGGAACUGGAUCUAAGCAAGUAGGUUGAGAUGUCUUUCUUUUUGGAAACUUUAGCUUGUUGUUGAACAAUUUUCCUCCUCUUAAAGUCAUGACAGAUUUUGUCUUUUUAUGCUAAUGGCUUGAACUCGAUCUAGCUGCAUACACUCCUUGAGUAUUAAGAAUGGAAUGACUUUGGAAUUUUCCCUUUUUCUAUAGUCAUUGCUAUAUUUUGAACUGAUCAAGUUGUUUGUUCAAUCACCUUCUCAAGGUUAGACAUGGAUUGCACUUGACAAUUCUGGGUGGUCCUCCUCUCAUUCCUUAAUUCUGAUAUAGUACCCCCUGUGAUUUUGACAAUUUUUUAAAAGCUUCCUCUCAUGGUUUAGGUUAUGAAAAAGUCUAAAGGUAAGCUGAGGAAAUUGAGAAACUUGAGUUGUUGUCUUAUUUUGUUGAAAGCCUUGUGACCAUGAAAAUUGGGGCGACCUCCAUCCUGAAUUAUAGGUUUUGGAGUAGGGAUUAUAGGUUGGUCAUCUUCUCAUCAUAUUAAUGGAGUUGACUUGAUCAUGAUAAGAAUCCUAUUUAGAUUGGUUUUAAGCAUAUGGCGCACUAGGAUUAACACUCAUCAAUAAGGCUGGUUGGCUGGAAAUUCCGUCCACGUACUUUUUAAGUUAUUUGAUAUCAGAUUUAGAUUCACUACCAUAGACCUCAUUCAAUCCUCUUAUUCUUCUACCAUUCGUUGAAGAUUGACACCUUUGUUAGGAAUUAUCUAAUUGUCUCUAGAAAAGGUCCCAAAUUUCUGUCGCACGUUUGGACAUAAGUUGACCUCCACUAGUUGCCAUUAACCUCUCUUGAAUAUGUGGCAAUAAAGUUUCUAAAAAAUAUUGGCAUUGAUGACAUUGCUCAAACAUAUGAUGUGGACACUUCAAGAGGAAGCCAUUAUAUCUCUUCCAUGCUUCAAAGAAUUGUUUAUUCUCUUAUUGUGUAAACUCUAUAAUCUCCUUGUGAAUAGCAUUAGUCUUAUGCACAAGAAAAUAUUUAUUAAAAACUUUUCAUCCAUUCUCUCCCAAGAUGUUAUGCUAUUAACUAGUAACAUGUUAAACCAUGAUAUGACUCUUCUUUCAAUGGGAAUGGAAACAAACGAAGUUUAACAUCAUCUACAAAGAAUCUUCAUAAUCAAAAGCUUGACAAACAACAUAAAAAUUAUUCAAAUGAUUAUAGGGAUCUUUAUUAUCUAAGUUAUAAAAAGAUGGGAGACAAUUAAUGAUAUUAGGUUUUAUUUCGUAACUCCUAGCAGCAACAUCUAGAUAUCAAAUGCACGAGAUGUUUAGAUUAGGUGACGGACUAAAGUAAUCUUUAAAAGGUUUUUGUUGCGGUUCUUCAGCCAUUUUAUCUUCAACUAUAUUUUUCUCAAUUUGAUCAACUUUUUCUUUUAAAGCAACUUUCUUUCUUUGAUGAAAGGUUCUCUCAAUUUCAUUGGCUAUAGGUUGUAAAAUUUACCUAACUGCUAAUUCAGCCAUUUUAGCUAACUGCUAAUUAUUUUCCAAUUUCAGCGUGACAACUCGAAAUCAAUAUUUGUCGACUCAUGAAUAUAACAAUUGAUUCGAAUUAAAACUAUUUUUUCUACUUAAUAGCAUGUAUCUAAGCAUCCCAUGUAAACAAUAUUGGAUAACAAAGAGUUAAAGUUUUUCUAAGUAUUCUGUAUAAAUAAUUUAAUGAAAGACACAUAUUUAAAGAUGAUCAUAUAUAAACUUUAUAGAUCCAAACAUCGGUUUAGUCAAAUAUUAAUCUUAACAAUCAAUAAUGCAUGAUAAAAUUGAUGAAAUGAUUUAAUAAUGUUUAAUCAAACAUGUGAAAUAAGAACCAUAAACAUUAAAGCACACAUGUAGUUAAUUAAUUGAAUAAAAAGUAAUUUAUUUCAUUGAAUAAGUUACCAUCUUACCAUAGUAUAGAACAUUUAGUUGCACAUAAUUAAUUUAGGGAUAAAAGAAUGGAUCAAACCAGUUAUGGAGAUUAAUUCAAAUGGCUAGCUCUUUUGCUAGCCCGUGACUUCCGCUUUAAUUGCUUUUAGCAGCUUCAGAACUAAUAUCUUUAUUCGCUUCUUUUACUUAAUAGAAGUUUAAUUGCCUUAAAAAAGAAAUCUCAUUUAAUAUUAGAAAAGAGAGUUGUGACCUUAUGAAGAGAGAAACAUAAUUUUUCCUUUACAAUUGUUGUCCCCAAAUUCAAGUGAGAGUUGUUUUCUUCUAGUAUAAGAGGGAGUACAAUUUUCCCCUCCUUGUAUUUAAAUAUAAGUGUUGUAAUUCUCAUUCCAAUGGUGAAAUCUUUCUAUUUUGCCCUAGAGUUUUUUAGUCCAAUUUAUUCUACAUCCCAUUUAUCUUCAUUUAUUCUCAAUUUCACUUUCGUUACAGCAUUGCCGUAUAGGAUUGUUGGGAUCCUUAAUUUCCUAAAAAUUGGCAACCAAAUAUUGCAUUAUAAAGUUCUUUCUCAUCUAAUCUCAUCUUUGAGAUAAAACUCUAACAUAUUAGUCAAACGACAUUAUCAGUGAAAGAGCUUUUAUCCCUAGUUAUUUUCUGUAAUUUAAAUUCUUAUUGUAUUCUCUAAAAUGAAAUGUCGUGCAACUUUUUCAGUACUAAUAAUGAUUGUUGCCAUCACUAAAAUCUUAAGCUUAUGCGCAAGUGGAAGAGUUUAUCAUUUAUUUAGUAAAAGGAUUAAUCUGUAUUGGAUUUUUUUGCUUACUAUAUUUUGUCCCUAUUCCAAAGUAUAAAUAGUUAGUGUUUAUUUAGUGAGAUUGCCAAUUUUCGUCCUACUAUAAUCAAUAUACACUAUUUACUUCCUUGCUAUUUUACCCUAUCGAUAGUUUAAGUUUUCAAUAUUAUCCUUAUUUUAAAGGGAAAUUAUCAUUUGUAUACUCUUAGUUUACUCCAUUAUCAAAAAUACUACAAUACUUUGAGGGUGUAUCAAUUCUCUACCCUAAGUUGGCAAAAUGUAUCAUCUGACCACCAAACCGUUAGUUGCCGUUUAAGUAUGAUGACGUCAGAAGGGUAAUUUGGUCUUUUCAUAUGAUACAAGUGAUAAUUAAAGGGUAUACAAGUGAUAAAAAGAGAAUUUAAGGGUAUACAAUUAAUAAUUUUCAAGGGUAAAAUCGUCAAUUUACUAUAAUUCCGUUAACUUUCAAACGGCAACUAACGGUUUGGUGGUCAGCUGAUACAUUUUGUCAACUAAGGGUGGACGAUUGAUACACCCUCAAAGUGUUGUAGUAUUUUUGAUAACAGAGCAAAUAUAAGGUAUACGAAUGAUAAUUUUCCUAUUUUAAAAUACAAUUUUAUUUAUAUUUAUUAUAGAUUAAAUAAAUCACAUAAAUGAAAAUUAAAAUUAAAAAAUUAAGUAUUAAAAAAAAGAAAUAUACGUUUUGAUAUAAAAAAAUUAAUAAUAAAAUUUUUUCUUGUACUUUUUUAUUUUGUAAACAUUUUCUUAUAAUAAAUAUUUUACAAUAUUUUAAAAUUAAAUGUAAAAGUACAAGCAAAAUAUUUUAUUAUUUAUUUUAUAAUAAUUUUUAUUUAUCAUCAAGUUUUCUUAUAAUAACUUUUAUCAUUUUAUAAUUAUUUUCUUAUGUAUUUAUUAUAAGAAAAUGCUUAUAAAAUAAAAAAAGUUCAAGAAACAUAUUUUAUUAUUAAUUUUGUUCACAUUAAAACAUAUAUUUUUAAUUUUUAAUACUUAAUUUUUUUAUUUUAAUUUUCAUUCCUGUGAUUUAUUUAAUCUAUAAUAAAUAUAAAUGAAAGUGUAUUUAAAAAUAAGAAUAAUAUUAUAAACUUAUGCUGACAUGUGUUAUUUAAUCUAUAAUAAAUAUAAAUAAAAGUGUAUUUGAAAAUAAAGAUAAUGUUGUAAACUUAUCACUGUUAAGAGGUUAUUGACUAUUACAAAAAUAUAAAGAGAGUAAAUGGUAUGUAUUAAUUACAGUGGGGGAGAGAUUCACAAUCUCCUAUUUAUUAAUUCAGUUGGCCAUGAAAUCUCAUUAUGAUUAUUUUUUAUUUUCUUUUAUAUAUAUGCGGCUUGGGCCAUUUGUUUCGGAGAUGCAGAAUCGUCGGAUAUAGUCCUUAAGUUCAUUGUCACAUGAGAGAAUUAACCUCUUCCGAGGAUGACCGUAAAGCUUUCCAAAUAGUAGCUGUUCUUUGAAUCUUUUAUCCUUUUCAAGGCUUGUUUGAUAUAGCAUCUAAAAUUAAAAGUAUUCCCAUCCAAACUUUUUAUAAACAGAAUUCAGAUUUUGUAAAUAGAGUCCAGGAAACCCGACCUGCAAGCUGAUUUUACAAUGUUGAUUCGACUUCUACAUUUUAAUGGAAUAGGUUUUAGUGAGGAAUCAGCCACCAGGUGGUUUCAGUACGUAUUGAGACGAUCACCACCGAAGAAUUUCAGCAACAAGUAAUAUGUCAGCGGGGAUCUGCUAAAUUGAGCGAGCAGACUCAAACGAUUUGAUUUUCCUCCAAGCACACAAAUUUAAAGGUUCCAACGCUCAAACUUUGUUUUUGUUUGGCAUUUUAUUUAGUUUUCUGGAUUCCGUUAGUUUAUGUUAGUUUUUUUCAUCAUUUUCCUCGUGAUUACAAAGGCAAAUUUGCUUCUUCAUUUGUGUGCUUUUAACUAUUCGAUUGAAGAAAAAAUAAAAUUCACUAAAAGCAAUUUAUGAUAAGGCAUCGCCGCAAACAACCCCAACUGUUGCUUUUAGAAGCUGAUAUGCCCCUUUAUCAUAAGUACAAUAUUUCAGGGGUUUUCUUAUAGAGGUUUAAUUAAUUUGUUAGUAUCUUUGUGUUGUCUGCGAAAGACUUAAACAUGCAUGAAAAUGUUUGUUAAAAAAAAAAAUUGUGAUACUAAAUUGCAGAGUAAUGAAAGAUACUCGACUGCUACCUUUUGGUUCCAUGUAUCAUGAGAAUUGGUUCAUAAUCAACAUAUUCAACAUCAGAUUAUGAUCCCAUUUGGGAUUGAGGUGCUGUGAAAAAAAAAAAAAACAGUAACUAUCAAAUAAAAGUUAAUAAUAUGUAGUAAAUAUAAAUUUUAAAUAAUAAUUUUAAUAAAAUUACAAAUAAAAGUUAAUAAUAUGUAGUAAAUAUAAAUUUUAAAUAAUAAUUUUAAUAAAAUUAUUAAAGAUAUAAUAUAUUUUUCAUUAUACAAAUGAAAAAUCAUAUUAACACAGCUUAAAAGCUACAGCAGCUAAUGUUUAUCAAACACUUUAUUGUUGUAACUUUUAAGCUACAGCUGCCAAACCUUAAUCCCAAACGCACCUUAUAUCAUUAAUUAUAUACAACGUGAUUGGGCAAAUUGCACCAAAAUACUAUUAUUGAAUUGCUACAUCAUAAUAAUAUAAAAAACACAAAUACUUGAAAAUUACGCACAAAACCUAUAACUACAAUAGGAUCUUCGGGGAAUAAGAUUGUCCACAACAAAAUAAUAGCAAGAGGUGAUCAAUAUUUCUACAAGAUAAAACCAUCUGUGCCGCCAAUAAGGAUUCACCCAUAAGACUCCAAUGAUUCCCAAAAUUACAAUUACAGAAGAUACUGUAAAAGUGAUAUAGAAACUAUCCAUGUCAAUCAAAUUAUCAUCUUCUUCAUCGUCAUGAGUUGAAGCUUCUGAUGAUGAUCUAUUUUCAUUGCAAAUUUUACGCAAUGGCGGUCCACAAAGAAAAGGAUUCCCCUCAUAUCUAUCCUCAUCAAAGGUUGCAAAUUGUGCAAUUCUCUCUGGGAUUUUGCCUGAUAAGUUAUUGUGUGCCACACUGAAAACAGCCAAUGCAUUUAGCUCUAUAAGUCGAGGAGGGAUUUUUCCAGUUAAGUUGUUGUAGGAAAGAUCCAAGCUUUCAACUUGUCUCAAGUUUGAAAAUGUCACAGGGAUUGUUCCUGUUAAAUUGUUGCGUGAAAAAUUCAAGGUAUGGAUUCUAAUUAAUUCACCGAUUCGACUAGGAAUCUCACCUAUCAGUUUGUUGCAAGAAAGAUCAAGCCCAUGAAUGCUCUCGAGAGGUUGUCCCUUGUAAGUGUAUGAUCUUUCCUUUGUUGUGAAGUCUAUAGUUUCCUUCUCUCCCAUUGAAGGCCCAACAUUAUAACUUACGAUGUCAUAUUCGUUUCUAUAAGUUGGAAUUAAAUCAUAGUAGCCUUCUUCACGAUGAAGUGAAGUGUUAUCUAAGCAAGGAGGAAUUUGACCAGAAAGAUUGUUAUGGGAAAGAUCUAACAACCGCAAUUGUUUCAACUGACACAAUCGAAGUGGCACCUCACCUUCAAAAUUGUUAUUAGCCAAAAUAAGGUAUCUCAAUUGAGAAAACCUACCCAUCCAGUUCGGGAUGUUACCAUUCAGGCGAUUAUUGCAAAGAUCCAAUGUCAACAGGUAAGAGCAUUUAGAGAAUGCACCAUCAAGUGGCCCUUGUAACAUGUUUUUGGACAAGUGAACCUGUCUGAUAGUGGAAGGAUUGAAACAAGAUGGUAAACUUCCAGCAAUGUUGUUCUUUGAUAGAUCCAGAAUUUCAAGAUAAUCAAGCUGACAAAACUCUGAUGGAAUUGGACCUUCAAGAUGAUUGUCGGGCAUUAUAAUAGCAUCUAAAAAUGAAAUGUUACCUAUCCAUGUUGGAAUGCUACCAGUAAUAUCGUUAUCACUGAUAUACAGUCCUUGUAAACUAGAACAAUUAGACAAACUUUCCGGGAUAUCUCCGAUGAAAUGAUUACCAUCCAAGUUUAACCUCUUCAACUUUGUCAAAUUAUUUUUUUUGGAAAAUAAUUGACCUUGCAGGCUGUUAUUUGACAACAAAAGAUACUCCAAGUUAAAGCAACCCAUGGCCAAGUGCUCUGGGAUUUCACCAGUCAAUUGGUUGUUUGAUAAGUCCAGAUAGAUCAACGAGUUCAUAUCACCGAAUGAAGAGGGAAUACUGCCGUUAAAAGCAUUAAAGGUAAUGCUGAGAAAACCCAAAUUUGGCAAAACUUUUCCAAUUUCUACCGGAAUGUGGCCCUGGAGUUUGUUGUAGGAGAUAUCUAAGGCAAUUAUAUUUUUGCGAGAGCGAGUUGGCAAACGGAAUGGUCCAGAAAGAGAGUUAUUGGCUAAAAUAAUUGAACGUAAGUUUGUGUUGUUUUCUAACAACCAGCUCGGAAAUUCUCCCCUCAUGUUAACGUCGGAGAUAAUAACAUACUCCAAGUGAUGUUGGUGGUAAAGGAAUUUGGGAAUUGUGCCACCAUCUCCAUGAUCAGACAAUGAGAUUGAAGUUAAUUGGAAUUUUGGGGUCAAAGAAGAAUGUGAUGACUCAAUUUCUCCAAAUAUUUGGUUUUCUCGACCAUGAAAAAUCUUGAGUUUUGAGUAGUUGAAAAAUGGUUCAAGUGAAAUGGGGAUUUGGAAGUGAUUGUUUGAAAGUAGGAGCACUUCUAUUGAAGUUAGAUGCAUGAGGGGGGAUGAGGAAAGAUUUCCUGUAAGUUGAUUGUCAGGGACAUGUAAUACUCGAAGGGAAGUCAAAUUUGCCAAGCACCAAGGCAAGCUGCCUAUAAAAUCAUUACGGUCAAUGUAUAAAUCUUGCAGAUGCACCAACUCACAAAGGCCUGAAAAAUUAUUCAUCGAUCGUGGUUAAACAUUUUAAAUUUGUCACUUGAUCACAUAAUCGAUGCAAAUCAGGGUGUAUAAUCAACACAUGUUCAUUUUAUUUAUUUUUUUUUAAUUUACCACUUUUUCGUUACUAUUGUAAUGAGGGAAUUUUUCUUAAGAAUCUCUCUCACUAGAAUAUAUAUAUAACUUAAAGAUUUUUGUUAAAGACAAAAUAAAAUUGAAAAUAAAGGAAUAUAAUUCAACUAAAAUCUUUCCUCCGUAAUUAAUUUACCUUGAUCUCCCGGUAGAACACCAUUGAGUCGACAAACUCUCAUUGACAGUAUUUUUAGGGAAGUGAAUGAUGCAAUGAUUUGCAGAAGGCUUCUAUGGAGAGGAGAGUAAUCCAUUGCCAAUUCUUCCAAGUUGGUGAAUUUGUGCAGCUCUAUUCAAUUUCAAGGAGCAACAAUUUUAGCUGUAAGUACAUACGGAAUUAAUUGACUGGAAAAUUAAUUUGCAAUAACUCAAUUUAUUUUGAUUACCUUGAGUAGUAGUCACUGUUUUCGCAAAAUUAUUAGACUUAAGGUAAAGAGUCUUGAGGGAUGGGAACGAUCCUAUUGAAUGUAACACCUUGCUUCCAUCUCUAAUUCUUAGUCCCGAAAGGUCAAGAAAACGCAGCUUCCUCAAACCUCUGUAAUCUUUUUAAUCAAAGAGAUAAUUAAACUCCCUAUAGAGAAUUUUGUUUUCAUUAUUCAAUAUUAUUGUUACCUUUAGGAACCACCAGAUUGUCAAUUUCAUUGUCGCUCAUGUCCAAUUCCUCUAAGUUACUCAAGGAAUCCAAUUCUGCAUAUAUAAUUAUAAAUAAGACUUAAGGUACUUCAACCGGAGUUAAUUAAUUAAUAACUUAACUAAAACGAAUGUAACAUGAGAAUUUUUUAUUAUUUUUAAUUUUUUUUUGGGUCAAAACCAAGAGUCAUUAAUUAAUUGUUUUGAGUAAACGAUGAAAGUUGGUUUAAUGUAUUAUAGCUAAUAUGUUAUUCCUUCAGAUUAAUCAAAUUAAAUAUUAAAUUCUCUCGAAGCUACAAAUAUGUCUAGUGGAUAAAAUGAGAAGCAGGUUUAGUCUCACCUUGAACAUCAAAGGUUCCUUUGAACCCAGUAGCCAUCAGAUUUAAUUUUCUUAAUGAAGAAAGAGCAGUUAGAGAAGAUAAGAUGCUACGGUUGAAUUUGUUACCACUUAAAUCCAAAGAUUCCAACAUAUUCAUACCUGCAAAACGGAUACAAUAAAGGACCUAAUUUGUAAAAGUUUAGAUUUUUACCACUUGUACGUUUUGGUGCGACAGAUUUGUGAAUCUCGAUCCAGCGAAUGUCCAACUUAUCCUCCAAAUUCAUCAAAGAAGCUAAAUUUAUAAAAAUAAAAAACUCAAAAUUGAAGAUCAAUUACCUUCAAUAUUAAUACUUCCUUCCAAUCUAUUAUAAGCCAAUGAUAAAUUUUUUAAUGAUGAAAGACCAGCUAGAGAUGAUAAGACGCUGUUGUUGAAGGAAUUAUGGCUUAAAUCGAGAAACUUCAAGUUGCUCAGCCUUGAUAGUUUCUCUAGACCUGCAAACAAAUUAAAUCAAACACAAGAAACAGAUCACAAAUUUAUUCAGGGGAAAUCUUUAGUAAAUAUUAGAAGACAUAUAUAUCUUCAUUCUCUACACAGCCGGCUAUGUUGUUGCCACUUAAAUCAAGCGACUCCAGUUGUUGAAAGGGAGUAAACAAAGAAAAAUUGAGGUACAAUGCUGAUGCGAUAUUCAAGGACAAAAGAUCAAUUGCUAUCACUCUGCUAGUGGUGGCGUUGCACAAAACGCUUUGCCACUGACAACAGUCUGAAUAACUCUCAUCUACCCAAUCUUGAAGAUACAUAGGAUGAUUGUUGAAAUUAUGUUUAAGUUGGAGGAGAGCAAAUCUCUCUUGCUCCAAACAUCCCUCACUCCACCAUCCUAGCUCUAAUAAUAUUAAAAACAAGGAAAGUAAUAACAGCAUCACCAUUUUUGAACCACCCAUCAUAUACCUUAGUUACUAACUAUAAACUACACUCUUUGCAUUUGCAACCAAAAGAGCAAAGGCUCUACGCUAUUUAUAACAUAUCAACAAUUUCAUACAUCCAUCUUUAACUUAAUUAACUGACUUAAUCAAUUAGCUGUUUUCUCCAAGUCUUUGAUUCAACAAUGUACUGCAUUAAUUUAAUUGUCUUAAUUGAAGUGAGAGAAGUGUUUAACGCACUACAUAAUUACAAAAUAUUAUAUUUGUUUAGUGGAUUACUUUGAAUCAAUGUGAAUCCAAAAAUUGCCACUUCUCCCUCAUUAAUCUUCCACACAGAUGGCUAGAAUUUUCAGCAUGGCUAGAAAAUACAAGUUAAGUACUCAAAUAUGUUUGAAGGGCAACUAGCGGAGUCCACACGUUUUAAUUAUGUUCUUUUUACUCCAAGGCUUUCCAGCAUUUUUUUAAAUAAAUAUACAGAAGUGGUGAAGAGCUCCGUUGAGAUCAAAUCUCAUGUUUAAUUAAGGAUCCUGAGAUAUUUAAGUUAAUGAUAUAGAUAAGAUAUUUAAUUAAAUUUUUCUUUCUAGUCUCCGAGAUGCCGGUUCAUAAUUAAGGGUUUGAAACUCUGUAAUCAUCAAAUUUUAAUUAGAUAUUUGCAAAUACACUGACACGAAUCUUGAAGGCGAACACAUUGGUCAUGUAAUUAAAAGCUAACAUUAAUUCGUUAACUGACCAGCUUGUUUUGAGAUUGCUGGCUUUGCAAUCUAUGUGUGGUCUAUCAUUGAGCCACUGGUGAGAAUGAUUUUUAAAACUUAUCGACCGCAUGUCGGCGUACGGUUGAUAUUAUGUAUGACAAGUCCUCUGAACAGGUUAUUUGCUUCAAGCCUUCAACAUAUUCUACAACUUAAUCAUUUAGGGUGUGUUUGGGAUUGAGGUGCUGUAAUUUUUAAGCUAUAGUUGCUGUAGAAAAAAAACUGUAACUAUGAAACAAAAGUUAAUAAUAUGUAGUAAAUAUAAAUUUUAAAUAAUAAUUUUGAUAAAAUUAUUAAAAAUAUAAUAAAUUCUUCAUUAUACAAGUGAAAAAUUAUAUAAACAUAGCUUUCAAGUUACAACAGCUAGUGUUUAUUAAACACUUUACUGCUGUAGUUUUUAAGUUACAGCUGUCCAACCUUAAUCCCAAACACACCCUUAAUUGUUUACGACUGAAUGCUACCAGGCAAAUUGCAUCAGAUAUUUUCAUGAAGAUACUACAUGCAUCAUACAUAUAAAGGACAUCUAUAUCGUUAAACAAUUAGAUACAAAACAAAACAACAAUACAAAUACAUAGAUCGACUAAAUAUCUGUGGGAAUAAGCUCGUACACAAGAAAACAGUAGAUUGAUAGCAAGAGGUGAGCUAUAGUUCAACAAGAUAAAAUUAUCUGUGCUGCUAAUAAGAAUUCACUAAUAAAACUCUAAUGAUUACUAAGAUCGCAAUUAAAUAAGAUCAUUUUAAAGCAAACACAAAAAUUACGCAUGUCUAUUAAAUAAUCAUCUUCUUCAUAUAUUGCCAGUCGAAACAUCUAAUAUUAUUAAAAAAAGCAAAGUAAUUUCUAAACUACACCGUUUGAAUUUGCAAAUAACAAAGGGAAGUCUCUACAAGGGAUGGCAACGAUUCGAUAUUUUAGGGGGACUCCAAUACUUGUACUCGUACACAUUUAUUACAUUCCCGUCACCGAAUUAAACUCAUUGUGUGUUUGAACGAGUACAAGUCGAGGAUUUCAUAUUAAAAAAAUAUAGAUACGUGCACGUCAUCUUCCCCUAUCCCAUAAAUCCCCUUUUAUUUAUUGACAUCCUGCAUAUACUUAAAAAAGAAAAAACGGUAUCUUAACUACUUAGUUCUAUAUCACCAUGCAGCACGUUAUUCUAGAUAGUUUAAAAAAUGUAUUCUCAACUUUAAUAAAUAUUAAUUAUAAUUUGAUGACUGUUAACUCAAUUUAAUUAAUAUAUUACUAAAUAUUUGGAUCGAAAACAAAAGUCUCUAUUUUGGCAUUUCCUUAUCCGUCUUUUACUCCUUUCAAUUGACCCUAAUUUGAACAUUAUUUUAUUGUUAUUUGUUUUUCAAUUAGGACAAGAUUUUAGAUGGUCAAGUAAAUAUCUAGUCCAUUAAAUGAUUGAUUGAAAUUUCCAAAUAGAGGCUUAGGAAAAUAUCAUUUAGAUGGCUAAGUGCUAAUAUUUACUUUAAUAUUUUUUUUGGUUUAGUUGUUAAUUUUAAAUUUUAAAUUAUUUAAAAGUGAGUGGGUAAUGAGAGUAGCGUUUUAUAUUCGUACCUUACCUUCCCAAUCAACGGAUAUUAUAUCUGUACUCGAUCUUUUUUUAUAAAAUAGAGGUAAAAUUAGACCUGAUACCUAACCCUAACAUAACAGGCCCCCUACCCCAGGGAUUUUUGGCUAUCCCCAUGUUUUACGCUAUUUAUAACAUAUCUAACAAUUUUAGACAGCUUAACCCUAAUUUACUUCAUUAGCUAUCUUUUCCAAGUCUUUGUUCCAUUUCUCUUCCUUUCUUUUCAUGCAUUUUUUACUAUUUGGCUAUUUGCAGCCUAUAUAAUUUGAGUAAUAGAAUUAUUAAUUCUUGAACAUACUGUUCAUGUAUAGUUGACGGUCAAUAUAAUACAGUUAGAUAAAAAAAUAUAUGAAAUUAAUGUUGAAAAAAUAGCAUAUCAAUAUACUAUUUUGAGGGCACAUUUUGAGUGGGUCCCACUUAGCGAAUGUGGGAAAUCUUAUGAGCUUUGGAUUCUACUCCGUGAAUACUUCGAAAGUGUAUAUUUAUUUACUCAAAACGGUGCUUGGGUGAAUGAGAAAUUGUCUCUCAAAGUGCACCCUUGAAGUUGAAAAUUUGAAAGGAAAUGAGGUUCAUCCCACAAGGGAAAAAUAAGCCAAGGGAUUUUUGUUUAUAUAUAGACACUUACCCAUGCAUGAGCAAGAAUUAUAAGGAUAGAGGCUCUCUCCACACGUGCGUGCGCAGGGGGGUGUGAAUCCAAGACCGAUUUGGUUGAACUCGUGUGCGCCCGCGCGUCCUGCGUACGUGAAUGUCAACCCAAAGUCACCCAAGCUUGCAUGACACGUUUUAAAUUUUUGUAACAACUUGGAAAUUAUUUUUUGGGCUGUUAUGCAAUUCAAUUUUUGAAUUCAAUAGGUUGUAUUGAAUUGUUUAAAUUGAAUUGGCCGUUACAACAAUUAAAUGGCAUAGUAUUGAAUGUGUAUAAAAAGGCAGCUUCCUCUUCUGUUUUUCACACACACAGAAACCACCACACAGAGCACUUAAAAUGUUUUUUCCUCCUUCUUACAUCUUGUUUUUUGAUCGAGUUUGCCGAUGAUCACAAGUGGAUUUAAGAUCAACGAGUGUGACAAAUGUGUUUAUGUCAAAGAAACAGAAAAUGGCUAUGCAUUUUAUGUUUAUAUGUUGAUGACAUGUGUUGUGCAAAUUUUAAUGUACUCGCAAGCGCACGAAUCUAUUGUAGUAUAGAUCAAUGGUGACGAGUGUCGAUCCCACGAGGAGGUGGAUUUUAAUUGUGUAUAGAAUUAAUUUUGCAAAUGGUUGAUUGGAUCUGUGGUGGAAAUGAUUUGGAAUAUGCUAAAACUUAAAUUAAAAUGGCGAGAAUAAAUUCUGAAAUUGGAAUUGAAAUGGCGAGAAUAAAUUGAAGAGAAUUCUAUUGAAAUGACGUACUUGGGUAUCUGGAUCCGUAUCAACAUGCAUCAUGGGCUAAAUAAUCCUUAUUAAUACCAGUUAAAUCAUGAGGGGGGAAUCCACACCUCAUGAACCACGCUCUAAUCAAUAUGGUGCUAAGGGCUUAUCGUGCCAAAUAAUAAUAACCUUAUACUAGAGAGCCGGUGUAACCAAGGCGGUAUCUAGACAAGAUCAGUAUUAUUUGUCGACGAUAAGUCAAAUCAUCCACAAAAACUAGAGGGGAAAAGAAAAUAAAUUUACCAAAUAAAGCCCAUGACACAUGUUGAGACUUCACCUUCAACCCAAGCUUGAAAGAAAAUUAGCUACUCAUAAUUGAACUAGGGGCAAAAUGGGAAUUUAUUAAAAUAUAAAGAAAAUACAAGAUGGAGAAGGAAUUACAGAAAAUGGAUCCCAAAAAUGGAUUAAGAGAUAUCAAAUUAGGGGGGGGAGGCCCCCUUUUUAUAGAUACAUGGAGUAAAUCAUGGCCAUCGGAUUAAAAACAGUUUGGACGCUCAGGAUUGCGCCACGUCAUCAGUCAACAGUCCACGGUUUGACCACGCGGAUGAACAGUAACACGGUUUGACCCGGAUGAACAGUAACACGGUUUGGUUGAAAAUAAUCAUGUGUGAUGCAUGCACCGUACGCGAGAUUUUUCGUCCACUGAUAUGCUGCCACGUCACCAUCAACAGUACAUAAGAAUUUUAGUCCAACAGGAUCGUGACACCUCAUCAGUCAAUGCCACAUCAUCGGUCAAUGCAACGUCAUCGAUCCGUCUAUGUGAACAGUAUCGUGAACAGUAACGUAGACAGUACCGUAUACGUGAAUAGUUCCGUACAUGUGAAUAGUGCCAUUUUUCCUUUUAUGCUCCUCCUAAGGUUUUCGACCGUCCUGAGUUCAAAAGUGAUGUCCGUUUUGCCGUCUGAUCUCUCCUUUAUUGUGAAAUGACUAUAAUGCCCCUAAAAUACAUAAAAUACUUAAUUAAAAUAACACACACGUAAUUACAUCACAAGAAGGUUAAAUACAUAAAAGUAAGGGUUGUUAGUAAGACUUGAAAUGUAAAAUGACGGUUUUCUCCUUUAUAAAUAUGCAUUUUCUAACACUCAACACACCCCCCAACCAGCUUAUUGCUAGUCCCUAGCAAAUAAAGUGAAAACAAAAUUCAAAUUCAAAAUGAUUUUUUUUUUUUUUUUUUAGAAACACUCGUGUUUAUUCAAUCAGAUUAAUGAUAGCAAUCAAAUAAAAGUAUAAGCAUUAUCUCCAGUCUAAAGCAACAUCACACCCACAUCAACCAUCCACAUGAAUUAGCCCAGUAGACUUUGUUAUAGCUACUUUCAAGAAUGACAUGUCAAACCCCAAAAUCUCACUGGAAGUAGUGACACUCUCACAAAGAAAUUAAAACCCAAUAAACAUAGUCACUCCAAUGAAUGGUAAUUGAGAGAGAAAAUAAUAAAGAAAUGAUAUCACAUGCUCUCACCAAGAUGAAAUAAAUAUGCCCUCAGCUUAGAAAUAAUACGAUCUCAAGUCAAAUAAAAUGUUAGUCAACCCACUUUAUUUAUCUUUUUUUUUUUUAAUUAUGCAUCACUACAUCUUUUUAGCCCAUAUAACUAGCUUCUACUUCAAACUAUAGUUCCCUAAAAUCAAGAAGGACUUUUAUUAGGACGUAACGUAGGCUAGGGAUAUGGCUAACAAAGAAAGGAAAUAAGGAAAACAAAGUGUAUGUUUGAGAAAAAUGCAGAAAUAUUUUUUUUUUUUUUUGAAGUUGCAAGGUAGAUUUCACCUAUUAUUGUUAUUUUAUUCUUUUGAAACAACAACUUUUGUUUUUUUGUUUUGUUUUUUUUUUUUUGGCAUAACUUCACUAAACAAAAUAAUUAUUUACAUUUUCUCAAACAUAAAUAGGUGAUGGAACUUAUAAGAUAUCGGGUAAUACUCCAAAUCGGAGUGGGUCAAGAUGAUAAGUUGACAAAGAAAAGGUUUUUUUUUUUUUUUUUUUUUUAAAGGCUCAAAAGGGGUAACUAUGGAUAUUUAAUAAAAGGGAUGGUUAGAAAGGCUCAAACGGAUCAAAGAUGGCCUUUCCAUCGUCUUUUAGGGCUCUAAAUAAUUAUCCAUAUCUACUAGUUAGAUGGGCCUCCCAAUGUAGCAACACACAUUUUUUUUUUUUUUUUACCAUUUUUUUUUAAGGGUUAACUCAAAAGAAAUCUAGAGAUCGUGUAUAAAAUAAUAAACUGCUAAGCUGUAUAGAGAAUGGGCAAAAGGGUUACUCUCCAAGAAAAUGAUAGGCUCAACAACUCACUUGGCACUUAUUUAUGACAUGGUCAUUCCUUCAAGCAACUCAUAUUUGUCUCCGACAUCAACAUGUAAAGUAGCAAACAUAGCGUAACAUCGCUUAAGACCAAAGAUAAUACAAAUACUAAAAUUUGAAAUUAAUCAUGUCAUCCAAUGUUAAAACAAAUCACAAAUUUUUUUUUUUUAACAACAUUCUACCCCCCAACCUAUUCUAAACAUGAAAGGAAAAUAUGCAUGCAGAAAUGUGAAAAUGAUGCAUAAAAACUAAGUAGAAAAGUUACACGUAAAAUGAUAGAAAACGAAAAUGAUUUUUUUUUUUUUUUAAAAGAAGAUGCGUUUCUAGAGGAACUACACUCCAUAUUCAGCCAUCUUCGACUCAAAAGUUGGAAAAUGUAUAUUUAUAGAGGAGAAAUUAAAAAGAAGAAAAAUAAACAUAAACACAUAAUAAAGAAAAAGAAAAUGUCUGAAUUUUUUUUUUAAGUUUUUUUUUUGAUUUUUUUUUUUAAAACGAUGAAGAUGCGUUUCUAGAGUCACUACACUCCAUAUUCGGCCAUCUUCAACACAAAAAGUUAACAACAGUUAGUUUCUACAACAAAAAAUUAGUAAAAACUUAACCAAAAUUCCACAAUUGUCGAUUAUUCCCUCCCCCCAACCAGAACGAAACAUUGUCCUCAAUGUUUGAAAUGAAAGAAGUAGAGUUUAGAAGACAUCACCUGGGUGGUGCAACACAGAAAAUAAUAUUUACAAGCGGAGAGUUAAAUCUAAUUUGUACUUCUUACUGCGGCUACUGUUACCAUCAUUAUGUGGAUGCUCCAACACAAAGGUCCAGGGGUCUGGCUCCGGUUUAUAAGCUUGUAACAGAUCAAGUAGCUCAUUAGCAGUGUGAGCACAAAUAAAAAGUUUUUUCACAUUAGAAGGAAUGAAAUAGUUUUUUAUUGCAUGGUUAAGAAAUGCGAUAAAGCCAUCAUAAAAGUUAUUGACAUUUAACAAACCGAUGGGUUUCUGGUGGAUGUGCAGAUGGGCCCAAGAUGCUAGUGUCAUAAGUGCCUCUAGUGUUGUAAGAUCUCCUGGAAGGAAAAUAAAAGCAUCAGCAUGAUUAAGCAUUUCAAUUAUUAUUUCUUGCAUACCUGAGACGACUAACUCUUCUCCAGUUGAUGAGUCAGACGAACUGCCCAAUGGUUUUAGGACUCUUGGGAUGAUGCCUAACACUUGACUUCCUCUGAUAAAAGCUGCUUCUGAGACCAUUUUUGAUAACCCUCGGUUACCUCCUCCAUACACCAAGUGUAAUUUUCUCGCUGCUAUGCUUCGACCAAGAUCUAUGGCUGCCUCCAUGAACUCUUUAUGUUUGCCAUAGGUAAAUCCAGAAAGCACACAAAUGUUCUUGAAUUGUCUAUUGGGAGUAGCUGCCAUUGUGAUACUUCUCAAAAACAAUUUGUGAGUGCUUGACAAAAGAUAAAUCACAUUUAAGAAUCUUGGUGACAGUGGAUCACAGCUGUGAAUGAGGUAACAUGUCAGUGUCAAAUAACGCGUAAAGCACGUGGCUCGCGAGUCAAAAAGAAAACAAUAAAAAGGAAAAAGCAAACAGUAACAAAAUUAUUAAAGACAAUAAUGCAAACAAUAAAACAACAGUGAAAUGAAAUAAAAUAACAGUAAAGUAAAAGGAUAUUUACACGUAGUUGCGACUGUGACUCACAUCUUCCUCUGGUUUUACGUCCAGAAACGGCUUGAACGCCCUCUAUGGGUCGAGGAUCGGCUUCCCAUCCAGUUUUCUUAUAAACUGACAAACAGGGUCGUUUAUAGUCAGAUUCCCGAGACUAUAUCGUGCAUGCUCUUUCUGGAAUAAUGGCCAUAACUGGAGAAUCGCUCCUUGCACAUAUCCACUAGGAUGCGUUUCAAGAGACAAAAGGAUAUCAUCCAAUGACUCCUUAUUCAAGCCAUCCCUAAUGAAUUGAAUCUUAUCUUCCCUGUUAUCAGACACCAUUCCUAAAGAACAUAGGUUUCUAUCGCAACUCAUUCUGGCACACUUAUGACAAGCAACAGAAAUUCUUCGAGCUCGUCGUUUUCUUGCAUAAUUUCCUUUACCACAACCAGGCAUGUAUGCAAUAAAUUUAGGAGGUAACUCACCUGCUGAUCGUACUUUAGCCUCAAUUAACCAACGGAUGUCUGCAGGUAUGUUAUUCCUCAUGAGUAAUCGCAUGCGUUCGGACCGAGCUUUAUAGAUCGUAAGGAGGGCAUUCUGAGGAAGUGAAGGGAAUCGCUUGUGAAGCUUCGCUAGAAUCUUGUAUCUGUCCAUACUUUCGCCUCAGAAUGUUAGUUAUUGUGGGAAACUGAAGUAACCGACUUGAUUGUCACAGAGUACCGUUAUCCGCCACUUCACCGGGGUAACAAACUAAAGCACACAAACAGAAAAACAAAUUAAAACACACAAAGAAAAUUAAAAUCGUCCUCUUAUUGAAUUUACCUCAAGCUCCAACUGGAUGUCGUAAACACUUCUCUCAAUGUCUCUGAGUUGGCGUUCUAAACCCUCAACAUAGGCUACUAACUCUGGUGGUUGUAGAGCCCAAAUGCGUUGUGUUUUACAAAAUUGAAUCUGCUUUUUGAGAUGAGUUUUGACACGUUGAAGUGGUUUAAGAAUGUUCAGGAGGAACGGUCUAAGUAUGGUACUCAUGAUUAACAAUGAUAAGAAAAAAAAACUUAAUGGUAAAACAAACACACUUAUGCAAAAAUAAUUUCAAUUAGCAGAAGAAUAAUAUAAAGAAAGAAAAAAAAUCAAUUCAAAUCUGGUGGGUCACUCAAAUUUAUUUCGGUGUCUUCUCCAUGUGGUUGGUACUCUAGAUAUGGCUUUAAUCUUUGACCAUUAACUUUAAACGUGACACCGUUCUUUGGGUCUUUAAUUUCAAUUGCCCCAUGUGGAAAAACAGUAUGAACAAUAAAGGGACCAGACCAUCGAGAGCGUAACUUACCUGGGAAUAGGUGCAAGCGAGAAUUGAAUAAAAGCACUUUCUGACCUGGAGUGAACGAUUUUCUCAUAAUGUGCUUGUCAUGAAAGACUUUCAUUCGUUGCUUGUAAAUCUUGGCAUUUUCGUAUGCGUCAUUGCGAAUUUCUUCAAGUUCUGCCAGUUGUAAUCUUCUUUCUGAGCUGGCUUGCUGCAUGUCAAAGUUGAAUUUCUUGAUGGCCCAAUAUGCACGAUGCUCAAGUUCCACAGGUAGGUGGCAAGCUUUUCCAUACACUAGCCUGUAGGGUGACAUCCCAAUUGGGGUCAUGAAAGCCGUUCUAUAUGCCCAUAAUGCAUCAUCAAGUCUUAAUGACCAAUCUUUUCUGUCUGGCCUCACCGUCUUUUCUAAUAUGUGCUUUAUUUCUCGAUUGGAGAUCUCAACUUGGCCACUGGUUUGCGGAUGAUACGGGGUUGCCACUUUGUGUGUGAUUGAAUACUUUGUCAAAAGAGCUUUGAAUGCUUUGUUACAAAAGUGGGCACCACCAUCACUGAUUAUUGCUCGAGGGAAUCCAAAGCGUGAAACAAUGUUGCUUUUCAAAAAUCCUAUCACCACUUUGUGAUCAUUGGUUCUGCAUGGAAUUGCUUCCACCCAUUUCGAUACGUAGUCAACACCAACCAAUAUGUAUUGAUGGCCAAAAGAAGGGGGAAAGGGUCCCAUGAAGUCGAUACCCCAUACGUCAAAAAUCUCAACCACUAAAAUUGGAUUUAGUGGCAUCAUGUUCCUUCGCGUAAUGCUCCCCAUUCGUUGACACCUAUCACAUGAAGAACAGAAAGUGUAAGCGUCUCGAAAUAUAGUUGGCCAAUAGAAACCACAUUGUAAAACUUUAGUAGCUGUUUUCUUAGCACUGAAAUGGCCUCCACAAGCUUGUUCAUGGCAGAAUGAAAGGAUAUUCUGAAUUUCACUUUCUGGGACACAUCGUCUAACAAUUUGGUCUGCACAAUACUUGAACAAAUAUGGGUCAUCCCAAAAGAAAUUCUUUAUCUCUGCAAAGAAUUUAGCCUUGUCUUGCUUGGUCCAAUGCUCUGGAAGUUUACCUGUAACAAGAUAAUUAACUAUAUCAGCAUACCAAGGUAAUAAUUCCACACUCAUUAAUUGUUCAUCUGGAAAUGACUCAUUCAAUAUUAAUGGCUCUGUAAUUGAGUCAAAAUGGAGACGAGAGAGGUGGUCCGCCACAACAUUUUCUGUGCCUUUCUUAUCUUUGAAUUCCAAGUCAAAUUCCUGCAAAAGUAACACCCAACGAAUUAGUCUAGCUUUUGCAUCUUUCUUUGUGAGAAGAUAUUUAAGAGCAGCAUGAUCUGUGAACACAAUUAUUUUACAACCAAUGAGAUAAGAUCGAAAUUUCUCUAAUGCAAACACUACUGCUAGCAUUUCUUUUUCAGUAGUUGAAUAGUUCAACUGUGCAUCAUUCAAUGUCAUACUAGCAUAGUAAAUAACAUGAGGAAUUCGAUCAACUCUUUGUCCUAAUACUUCUCCUACUGCAUAAUCAGAUGCAUCACACAUGAGCUCAAAUGGUAAGCUCCAGUUUGGGGCCUGAAUGAUGGGUGAUGAUGUCAACAACUGCUUUAAUUUUUCAAACGCCAUGAGACAUGAAUCAUUAAAGAUAAAAGGUACAUCCUUAGCAAGUAAAUUACAUAAGGGUCUAGAAACUUUGCUAAAAUCUUUAAUGAAACGUCUAUAAAAACCAGCAUGCCCAAGGAAAGAUCUUACUUCUCUGACUGUUUUGGGUGGAGGAAGAUUAGAAAUGAGAUCCACCUUGGCUUUGUCAACCUCAAUACCUUUGCUCGAAAUGAUGUGACCGAGAACAAUACAUUGUUUUACCAUAAAAUGACACUUCUCCCAAUUUAAGACUAAGCUCUUCUCGGUAUAUCUCUGCAGAACUAGCGUUAGAUGAUGUAAACAUUGAUCGAACGAGUCACCAAAGACAGAAAAGUCAUCCAUAAAGACUUCAAGGAAUCGUUCAACCAUAUCAGAAAAAAUGCUUAACAUGCAUCGUUGAAACGUAGCAGGUGCAUUACAUAAUCCAAAUGGCAUUCUCCUAUAUGCAAAAGUGCCAAAAGGGCAAGUGAAAGUAGUUUUCUCUUAAUCUUUUGGUGCUAUGGGAAUUUGAUUAUAUCCUGAGUAGCCAUUUAGAAAGCAAUAAAAUUCAUGGCCUGCUAAUCUAUCAAGCAUUUGAUCGAUAAAUGGUAAAGGAAAAUGGUCUUUACGUGUGACAGAAUUCAACUUUCUAUAAUCAAUGCAUACACGCCAUCCUGUAGUUACUCUAGUUGGUAUUAAUUCAUUAUCGGCAUUGGUAACUACUAUGACUCCUGACUUUUUGGGGACAACUUGUACAGGACUGACCCAUGAACUAUCAGAAAUUGGGUAAAUGAUACAUGCGUCUAAUAGCUUAAGGACUUCUGUUCUAACAACUUCUUUCAUAUUAGGAUUUAACCGACGUUGCAUUUCCCUAGUAGAUUUAGCAUUUUCAUCAAGGUGAAUGUAAUGCAUGCAGUCUACUGGAUUUAUACAUUUUAUGUCCGCUAUGGUCCAUCCUAAUGCUCCUUUGUGCUCUUUUAAAACAUCCAACAACUUACCUUUUUGUUCGUUAUUUAGGGAUGAUGAGAUGAUUACCGGCAAAGUACUUUCUUCUCCCAAAAAUGCAUAUUCCAGAGUGUUGGGCAAUGGUUUGAGCUCGAGUUUCGGUGGUGAUUCUGAUGAUGGGAUGAGUUUCUUCUCUGAUGGUGCUAGUUGUUCAACUCUUGACUUCCAUUUAUUAGUGUCCAUGGAUGGUGCUGAGUCAAGUAGAGCGUUGACCUCAUCAACUGAUCUGUCAAUAUCAAAAUCCAAACAAAAGUGAGUUAAAUAUGUCUGUAAAGGGUCAUCACUAAGGUUUGAAAUAAAAGUAUUAUCGACUAUUGUUUCUAUUAAAUCCACAUCAACAAUUCCAUCAUAUGCACUGUGAGGUUAUUUGGCAAUGUUGAAAAUAUUUAGCUCCAUAGUCAUGUUGCCGAAGGACAACUGCAUAUUUCCAGUCCUGCAUUGAAUGUGAGCAUCCGCAGUCGCCAAGAAAGGUCGGCCUAGAAUAAUAGGGAUGUGCUUCCUUGAAUUCUGUAUUGGUUGAGUGUCAAUUACAAUGAAAUCAACAGGAAAAUAAAACUUGUCUACCUGGAUAAGCACGUCCUCCACAAUACCACGAGGUAUUUUCGUAGACCGAUCUGCAAGUUGUAACACCACUGGAGUUGGGUGUAAUUCUCCCAGUCCAAGUUUCACGAAUACAGAGUAAUGCAACAAAUUUACACUAGCUCCUAAAUCCAACAAAGCAUUCUCAAUUGUGUGGUUCCCUAUACUACAUGAGAUAGUGGGGGAGCCUGGGUCUUUGCAUUUUAAAGGAAUUUUAUGUUGGAGUAUAGAACUAACGUUUUCUGUUAAAAAUGCCUUCUUUUGAACAUGCAUAUUUCUCUUUUUAGUACAAAGGUCUUUAAGAAACUUGGCAUAAGAUGGAACUUGUUUAAUAGCAUCAAGCAAUGGGAUGUUAACACUUACCUGUUUGAAGAUCUCAAGAAUCUCACCUGUGGAUUUUUCCUUUUUUCCUUUCACUAACCUCUGAGGAAAUGGAGCUUUAGGAACAUAUUCUCGCGGGUUGGUUUCUUCUUUCUCCUUCGGUGGUGAGUCUUCAACAUUCACAGGUACAAUUUGAUUUUCUUUGGUCACCGGCAUCUCCACUUUGUUGUCGACUUCUUUUCCUUUUCGCAAGGUCAUGACUGCUUUGACCUCUCCAUGCUGCUGUGGUAAACUGGUACUUGCUUCAUGCACUCCUUUAGGAUUAGGUACUGGUUGACUUGGAAAUUUACCUUUCUCAACAGUCAUCGCCAAGGUCUGAACUGAAGAAGCAAGUUGUCCCACCAUCUUCUCAAGGCUUGAAACUGAUUGGGCUUGUGAAUUGAAGCCUGCUCUCAAUUCAUUUCGUAGUCCAUCAAUGGUGCGAUUCUGUUGCUCAAUUGUGGAGUGAGUAAUAUUCUUGAGAUUCUGGAAUGAAUCCUCCCAUGGUCUGGGUUGAGAGUAGUUCUGGUUCUGAUUGUAUGGUCUAAAUGGGGGCUGAGAGGCUUGAGGAUUUUGAGGAAUUUGUUGCAUUGGUGGAGCUGGAGCUGCUGGUCCAUUCUGUUGGAAUCCUUGAGACCAUGAAAAAUUGGGGUGGUCUCUCCAUCCAGGGUUAUAUGUGUUGGAGUAUGGGUUGUAAUUAGAUGGCUUUCUCAUUACACCUAUGGCAUUGGCUUGAUCUGAGUAUGAGUCAUGGUCAUGUGGUUCUGUUGAUUUAGCAGUUGAUAACGAUGCUAUUUGUCGAGCAAGACCUUCAACCAUCUCCUUGACUUCUUUGAUUCCCGAAGUUGACUCGCCAAUUUGAACCUCAUUUACUCCCUUAAUUCUUCUAGUAUUCCUGAGUGAUCGACUCCGUUGUUGGGAAUUAUCCGCUUGUCGCUGGAAGAAUUCCCAAAUCUCUGAUGCACUUUUUGACAUUAGCUCUCCUCCACUUGUUGCCAUUAGCCAUUCUUGCACAUUCGGCAAUAAUCCCUCCAAAAAGUAUUGACAUUGGUGCCAUUUCUCGUACCCAUGAUGUGGACACUUCAAGAGUAGCCCAUUGAAUCGCUCCCAAGUUUCGAAAAACUGCUCGUCCUCUCUUUGAGUAAACUCUGAAAUUUCCCUGCGAAUAGAAUUGGUUUUAUGCACUGGGAAAUAUUUAUUCAAAAAUUUCGUUACCAUUUGUUCCCAUGAUGAAAUGCUAUUGGCAGGCAAUGUAUUAAGCCAUGAACGAGCUCUAUCUUUUAAAGAAAAUGGGAAUAAUCUAAGUUUAACAUCAUCAUCUGAAAAAUUCUCGUAUUUAAAAGUUUGACAAAUUGCAUGAAAAUCAUUCAGAUGAUUAUAUGGGUCCUCAUUUUCUAGGCCAUAGAAUGUGGGGAGACAAUUUAGCACACUAGGUUUUAAUUCAAAACUCCUAGCAGCUACAUUUGGGUAUCUAAUACAUGAUGUGCUCAAAUUAGCUAAGGGACUAAAAUAGUCCUUAAAUGGCCUCUCCUGUGGUUGCAAAUCCAUUUUAUUUUUAACGUGUUUGUGUGUGCGAAGUGUUUUUUCUAAUUCAAGGUCUAUAGGUUCAAGAUUAGGUAAUAAUGACCUACGACCAUGCAUGCAAAAUAAAAUAAAAAUAAAAAUAAAAAUAAAGAUGGGAACAAAACAAAUAAAAAUAAAGAAGAGGGAGAAAUUACGAUACUAACCUUAUUGCGCUAUUACAACCUUACUAUAAAAAUACACAAAAAUAAAUACGCGAAAUAAAUUAACUAAAAAUUAAUAAAAUAAACAAAAAUUACAAAGAAAAAAAUAAAUUGAAAAUUAAAUUACAGAAUUUUAAAGAAAAGAAAAAGAAAAGAAAUACUAACCUUUAAAUGUAGAUUUACUUUUUUUUUAAUAAUAAUAAUAAAAAAAAAUACAAGAAAACAAAUAAAAGAAAUUAUUCACAAAAAUUAAUUCUAUGAAUUAAAACUACUUACCUCCCCGGCAACGGCGCCAAAAACUUGUUGUGCAAAUUUUAAUAUACUCGCAAGCGCACGAAUCUAUUGUAGUAUAGAUCAAUGGUGACGAGUGUCGAUCCCACGAGGAGGUGGAUUUUAAUUGUGUAUAGAAUUAAUUUUGCAAAUGGUUGAUUGGAUCUGUGGUGGAAAUGAUUUGGAAUAUGCUAAAACUUAAAUUAAAAUGGCGAGAAUAAAUUCUGAAAUUGGAAUUGAAAUGGCGAGAAUAAAUUGAAGAGAAUUCUAUUGAAAUGACGUACUUGGGUAUCUGGAUCCGUAUCAACAUGCAUCAUGGGCUAAAUAAUCCUUAUUAAUGCCAGUUAAAUCAUGAGGGGGGAAUCCACACCUCAUGAACCACGCUCUAAUCAAUAUGGUGCUAAGGGCUUAUCGUGCCAAAUAAUAAUAACCUUAUACUAGAGAGCCGGUGUAACCAAGGCGGUAUCUAGACAAGAUCAGUAUUAUUUGUCGACGAUAAGUCAAAUCAUCCACAAAAACUAGAGGGGAAAAGAAAAUAAAUUUACCAAAUAAAGCCCAUGACACAUGUUGAGACUUCACCUUCAACCCAAGCUUGAAAGGAAAUUAGCUACUCAUAAUUGAACUAGGGGUAAAAUGGGAAUUUAUUAAAAUAUAAAGAAAAUACAAGAUGGAGAAGGAAUUACAGAAAAUGGAUCCCAAAAAUGGAUUAAGAGAUAUCAAAUUAGGGGGGGAGGCCCCCUUUUUAUAGAUACAUGGAGUAAAUCAUGGCCAUCGGAUUAAAAACAGUUUGGACGCUCAGGAUUGCGCCACAUCAUCAGUCAACAGUCCAAGGUUUGACCACGCGGAUGAACAGUAACACGGUUUGACCCGGAUGAACAGUAACGCGGUUUGGUUGAAAAUAAUCAUGUGUGAUGCAUGCACCGUACGUGAGAUUUUUCGUCCACUGAUAUGCUGCCACGUCACCAUCAACAGUACAUAAGAAUUUUAGUCCAACAGGAUUGUGACACCUCAUCAGUCAAUGCCACAUCAUCGGUCAAUGCCACGUCAUCGAUCCGUCUAUGUGAACAGUGUCGUGAACAGUAACAUAGACAGUACCGUAUACGUGAAUAGUACCGUACAUGUGAAUAGUGCCAUUUUUCCUUUUAUGCUCCUCCUAAGGUUUUCGACCGUCCUGAGUUCAAAAGUGAUGUCCGUUUUGCCGUCUGAUCUCUCCUUUAUUGUGAAAUGACUAUAAUGCCCCUAAAAUACAUAAAAUACUUAAUUAAAAUAACACACACAUAAUUACAUCACAAGAAGGUUAAAUACAUAAAAGUAAGGGUUGUUAGUAAGACUUGAAAUGUAAAAUGACGGUUUUCUCCUUUAUAAAUAUGCAUUUUCUAACACUCAACAACAUGCUCAUUGUUGGGAGUGAUGAUGACAUGAUUAAAUCUACCAAGAAUAUGUUGAAGUCUAAAUAUGACAUGAAAGACAUGGGUCUUGCGGAUGUCAUUUUGGGGAUUAAAAUCUCAAGGGCUUUUAAUGGACUUAUUCUAAGUCAAACUCAUUAUUUAGAUAAAAUUCUUGAGAAAUUUAAUAAAGAUAAUAAUACCGUGUCUAAAACUUCAUUAGAUACGCGUAUACAUCUAGCGAAAAAUAGAGGAGAGGGUAUUUAUAAGGUAGAAUACGCUAGAAUAAUAGGCAGUCUGAUGUACUUAACAAACUAUACCAAACCAGAUCUAGCCUAUACAGUAAGUAAACUUAGUAGAUAUACGAGUAAUCCAGGAACUGAUCAUUGGAAAGCUAUCGUAAGAGUACUCAUGUAUCUUUGAUACACUCGUAAUUAUGGACUACACUAUACUAGGUAUCCAGAAGUGUUAGAAGGAUUUAGUGAUGCUAAUUGGAUAUCUGAUGUAAAAGAUUCAAAAUCCACUAGCGGUUAUGUGUUUACACUAGUAGGUGCAACUGUAUCAUGGAGGUAUUCUAAAUAGACAAUAAUUGCUAGAUCUACAAUGGAAUCUGAAUUCAUUGCAUUAAAUAAAUGUGGUGAAGAAGUAGAAUGGCUACGCAACUUUUUAGAAGGUAUUCCAAAGUGGCCAAAGCCUGUGCCUACAAUAUGUAUUCAUUACGAUAUUCAAUCAGUUAUCGGUAGGGCACAAAGCAAUAUGUAUAAUAGUAAGUCUAGACACAUACGUCGUAGACAUAAUACCAUUAGACAACUUAUUUCUACUGGAGUUAUUUCUAUUGACUAUGUGAGGUCAAAGGAUAACAUUGCGGAUUCACUAACCAAAGGAUUAAAUAGAGAGCUAGUAGAAAAAUCAUCGAGGGGAAUGAGAUUAAAACCCAUAGAAUGAUUAGUCAAUAACGAAGGAAAACCCAAACUAGUUGACUGGAGAUCCCAAUAUCUAGGUUCAAUGGGACAACCUAAUUAUUAAAGACUAAAGUUGGGUCACUGUGGGGGUCAUUCUCUUGAGAGGAUUACCUCAUUGACCAUUCCUAUAAUGAAACAGUGAUGCCCGUGGGAAAUAAAGUUCAGCUAGGCUCUUAAUGAUUCUUAUGCGUCGGAAAUCCGAGCGAAGUAAUGCGGGUUACUCUUAAUUAAGAUAUCACCUAUGUGAGAGAGAAGUGGGGCCGCUUCAAAGGGAGCUGUUAAGGGUUCAGCUCUUAGAAACUCUUGCAGAACCAGGUAGAUGUUCAAGGCUAAAUGAACACAACCAUGAGAAUUCAACAGUGUUCAGAGAAAUACCUAUGUGUAGUAUAUGAUCGUUUACAUUAAUAGCAGAACAGUUCAAAGACAUCGAGCCUACUGAUCAGCCAGUAAAGUAAAUAUACUAUCACAAGGGAAGGUUCAAAGGAUAAGACCUACCUAUCCUGUGCUAGGUAUCGAUCCAAUAAACUCGAUCAUUUAGGUCAAAAAUAAUUUUGAUGUCAAAAUUUAGCGGUUUUUCUGUUUUACUGCCAAUUUUCAUUCAUGUAGGGGAUCGUUGAAAAACUAGCAUAUUAAUAUGCUAUUUUGAAGGCACAUUUUGAGUUGGUCCCACUUAGCGAAUGUGGAAAAUCUUGUGAGGUUCGGAUUCUACUCCGUGAAUACUUUGAAAGUGUAUAUUUAUUUACUCAAAAUUGUGCUUGGGUGAAUGAGAAAUUGUCUCUCAAAGUGCACCCUUGAAGUUGAAAAUUUGAAAGGAAAUGAGGUUUAUCCCAUAAGGGAAAAAUAAGCCAAGGGAUUUGUGUUUAUAUAUAGACACUUACCCAUGCAUGAGCAAGAAUUAUAAGGAUAGAGGCUUUCUCCACACGCGCGUGCUCGGGGGGGUGCAAAUUCAAGACCGAUUUGGUUAAACUCGUGUGCGCCCGCGCGUCCUGCGUACGCGAAUGUCAGCCCAAAUAUGCUCUUUAAAAGCAUAUAUGUUUAUUUAAUUGUAAUAAAUAAUUUUUCUGAUUAAUAAAAUAAAUGAGGUAUUUUAUUUAAAUAUCUUAAUUGUAUUAAUAUUUUGAUUAAAGUUCAUUUAAUCAUAUUAUAUGUAUUUAUGUGAUCACCAUGUGGAUUCACAGAAGACAUAAAUACAAGUUAUCUUAUGCUUAAAUAAAUUUAGUUCGCAGUUGAUAAAUAAAGUUGGGCACUUUAUUUAGGUAUAUUUAGGUAUAGAUUGUAAUAAAUUCAUUGAACGAUUUGUCUUAAUCAUGUAUGAAUUUAUUGAUGUAGUACGACUACAUUGAACAGGAUCACAUAUGAGAUUUAAUUAACUUUGUAAUAACUGUCAGACUUAUUAAAUCUGGCAUUAAUUUUACUGUAAUCUUAAUCUUGAGUUAAUUAUGAUUUCAUGAUUGUAAUUGUUAUUCCAUUUGAGUUACCAAUUGGCAUGACACAUACUUGUAGUCUAGAUUACCCGGUAUCUUGGUGGGAGCAUUUAUGUGUAUUGGAGUUAUAGAUUAACAAUAUAGAAUUUGUACAACACAUCUCUUGAUGGGUUUUCGACACUUGAUCAUAGAAUUCUCUGGCCAGAGUGUGUCAACAUAUUUAGUAUGUUGAAAAUGAUCAUUAGAGAAAACCAGUAAAUAUCAAGGAAUAAGAUGUAAUUAAAUCGAUUGGACAGUUGAGAUGUCGAUUUAAUUAACGAUGUGGUACAAAAGAUUAUGUAGUAAAGAAAUCGAUGUGGCUUGGGACGAAUUAUUAUUCGAGCAUACAAUUAUGGAGGUCAGUUCUAAUCUUUUAGUGGAGUAGAUUUGGAAUUAAAUAAUUGGGCUAGUUUAAUUAUAGGCCUAAUUAUUAUAGUCACUAUUGUAUGUUCCCAAAUGAUCCCCGAGUUAGCUCAUUUAAUUGACUGCACCACUACUGGAUUAAUAAGUAAGAUAACUAGUUAUUUGAGUCAAAAGCCUAAAUAUAUCAUUUAGUGGGAGGCUCCAUUUAAUAUGCUUGUAUGUAAGGGGCUUUAUGUUAUUUUACAAGAUGGGCCCCCUAUAGAAAAAGCGUGGCUCUUGAUUUUCAUUAUUUGGAGCCUAGGGUUUUCACUAAAGGGAGAUAUAAAAAGGCUUAUUUUCUUUAAAGAAAAAUGAGAGCAGCUACUUUAUACAAAUCAGAGAAAAAAAAUUUUCUCUCUAAUUUUGAGAGAAAACUUUUCUCGUGCUAGUUGCUUUAGUGGUGAAAAAGGCGCCCACACGUUAAGUACAGAUCAAACCUGAGUCAUAACCUGGAAGAUCAUUGGUGACCGUUCGUGAUCUAACAAGCGUGGUGGUGACGGAUCGUGAUCUGGGAGCCUAAAUCACUUCAGCAGAAAAAGCCAAAUCGGAUUUUCAAGGUACGAUUUCUAGAUUGCAAAUUCUUAUAUAUUGUAUGAAAGCGAUCUUAAAAGGUUUUAUAAAAAUUUAAAAAACUAAUUUUUCUUCAACAUUAAUUUCGUAUAAUUAGCUACUGGUUUUAUUUGUUAACUCACAGUUGUUAUUUGUCUAACAAUUAAUAUAGUGGCCUAUAUGUAAAUCAUCUGAUGGUGAUCUGACACUUAUAUUUGUGCAUAAUUUUAUACAAGAAUUUUUGUCUAUAUUAUAAUCAUCAUCAUCAUUAUGUUAAUGCAGUCACCAAUUAUGAAAAUAAUUUUUAGUUACUAUUUAUACCCCUAUUUGAUGAGUUGGCCAAAUGAAAUUAAAAAACCAGGAGAUUCGGCACCUUGCCCUUUAAUAAGAUUACAUUUCGCCUAAAUUUCAAUUAAUAAAUAAAGGUUAAUUUUAACUUAUCCCCAGAUAUUUUGAUACACUUCAAUGGACCUUUACCGAAUUGAAAACAUCAACGUGCCCCUCAAAUUCUGUGAAAUCUAACCGUUGAGUCGUUGACCACUAAAAAUAAUAUAAUAGCGCUGAUAAUGGCUAAUGUUUUUGUUUUUUUGUCUUUUUAUUUUUUUAUUUUCUGGGUUUUAUCAAUUUCCCCUUCCUGUUCUGGUAUUUUUGAAUCGAAUGUGAAAGAAUUUUCGCAACGAAUUUGGUAGUGACACGAUUUUUGUAAUUUAUUUAUUUAAUAUUUCAUUAAUAUUUAGUAAAUCAUAUGUUUUUAAAGGGGGAUUGCUGGCCACAUACCCCAAAAUUUUUUUCUUUCUACUACCCAACCCCCAACCUUACUUUUGUGAACAUUUAAUUUUGCCUUUUGAACGAUAAAAUUAGAUUUGAUAAAAUUAAAAUUUUUGCUUAAUAUUAAAAUAAAAAUUGACCAUAAAAAAGAAUAAUGACUAGUGUUGUGCUCUGAUAUUACUUAUUGUGCACAUAAUUUGGAAUUAAGCACACCAAAUAAUCACCGAAAAAUAAAAGGAUACAAGAAUUUAACGUGAUUCGGCAAUUGUGCCUAAGUUCAUGGGAACAAGAAAAAAUAAUUGCAUUAUUAACAAUUAUUAUAGUAUAAUAUUUGAGUGAAAAAACCUCACUUCUCAGAACUUAAAUACACCCAAAACUCUUUCACACGCACUUGAAAGGAAAGAACCUCUCAAUUGCUCGCACUCUCCAAUUGCUCAUUCUCUUAAUAAUUUCUCACUUGAAUUGUUUCUCUCAAAUUUGGGAUACAUUAGCUCUCUGAAAUGAAGCUCUAUUUAAAGUUGAGUUUCACCAUUUAAUUUAUUUAAAAGUCUAAAAAGGGGCAGCAAAAGUCUUGUAAUUCGGCACCAAAUUGAAAAACAAUUCAUGUGUGCAAGUACACCUCCAAUUUUUCAAUUUUAUAUGGCCACCAAAUUGAAAAGCAAUCCACCAAAAUUGACUUUUCAACAAUUCUCCGCAUCAGUGAAUGGACAAAUAUGAGUUCACUACAAACAAAUCAUCCUUGUUUUAAAUCCUUAAUGAAUGAUUUAUUUGGGGAUGGUGGUUUGUUGAUAGUCAACACAGAUUUGUCCAUUUGGACAAAUUUUUGCCCAAAUGGAAAAUUGUUGAAAAGUCAAAUUUGGCGGAUUGCUUUUCAAUUUGCUGGCCCUAUAAAAUUGAAAAAUUGGAGGUGGAGCCGCAUGCAUGGUUGUUUUCAAUUCGGUGCUAAAUUAUAAGACUUAUGCUGUCUUUUGUUGAGACUUUUAAAUGUAUUAAAUGGUGAAGCUCAACUAUAAAUAGAGCUUCUUUCCAAAGAGCUAAUGCACCCCAAAUUUGAGAAAAACAAUUCAAGUGAAAAAUUGUUGAGAGAGUAAGCAAUUGGAGAGUGUGAGUAAUUGAGAGGUCCUUUCCUUUCAAGUGUGUGUGAGAGUACUGAGUGAAAUCGGAUUCUAAGAAGUGAGAUUUCUUUAUUGAAAUAUCGUACUCUAGUAAUUGUUAAUAAUACAAUUAUUUUCUCUUGCUCCCGUGAAUGUAGACAUAAUUACCGACUCACGUUAAAGUUUUGUGUUUUUUAUUUUUUAGAACAACAUCAAGAUCGAUUGGAAUAAGGGCAUCCAUAACUUCACACAUGCACGUGCUAAAGUUGAUUUUCCCAUCAAAUUUCUCAACUUUGAUCUCCUGGCCUCCUGUAACCUGUGCUGAAUGGCGAUGUGACAAGUUUCGCCUUCCACCUGAAGCAUCCACUGAAAUUGUGCAAACUUUCAACUUUGAUACCAGUUGUUUGUGCUCUGAUAUCACUUAUUGUGCAUGGACUGUAGAAUUAAGUGCACCAAAUGAUCAUAGAAAAAUAAAGGACAUAAGAAUUUAAUGUGGUUCUGCAAUUAUUUCUAUAUCCACAGGAGCAAGAGAAAAUAGUUGUAUUACUAACAAUUAUUAGAAUACAAUAUUUGAGUAAAAAAACCUUACUUUCUAGAAGGUAAAUACACCCGGUACUCUCACACACACUUGAAAGGAAAGAACCUCUCAAUUGUUCACUUUCUCAAUAAUUCUUUACUUGAAUUGUUUCUCUCAAAUUUAAGAUGUAUUAUUCUUUGAAAUGAAACUCUAAUUAUAGUUGAGUUUCACCAUUUAGUACAUUUAAAAGUCUAAAAAGAAAAGGACAGCAAAAGUCUCGUAAUUCAACGCCGAAUUGAAAAAAUAUCUAUGCAUGCGCUUCCACCUCCAAUUUUUAAAUUUUAUAUGGCUGAAUUUGACUUUCAACAAGUGUCAACUUUAGCCCUUUCUUCUGAUUCCUCUCUCUGAAAACAAAAUAAUGAUACAAUCGCAGACACUUUGUAAAGCAAGAAAGAAUUUGUUGAAAAAUGCAAACAGUUAAUGAAAAUAAUUUCGUUUUUUUUUACGUCUUUGUUAUUACAUAGCUCAUGUUACGAGUAACAGUGCUAGUGUGUUUUUAGAGGUUAACAUUAGUCUAUUAUUAGAUUUCCAUACGGUGGAGUUGCAAAGCGUAUAUCAAAACAUUUCGAUGGUAGGUUAAAAUUUAUCUAUAAAUAAAUUUUUAAAAAAUACUAAUCAUAUCCUACCUCAAGACUUCCAAGUCCAUAGGGGGAAGCUGGGCCUUUCGUAACCUUUUUUAAUCUUUUGUGCGCAUGAUCUUAAAAGUCUAAACAUUUAUUUUUUCUUUUUUAAUAUUUUUCUUUCAUUACAAAUUCUAUAAAAUAACAUAAUAUAACAUAUAUAUUUUACAAUAUGCAAAUAAUUAUCACUAUGUGAGAUAAGUUCCUCAGAACAAGCUCUAAAAUAAUUGUAAUUUAUUAUAAUGUAGAAUUUAUUCUUAUUUAUAACUGUUCAAAUUGAGAUUAAUUUUUCUUUUUAUAAUUAUAUGAGUGUUAUUCUUAUAUAGGAUAUCCCUAUAAAGAGAUCAAUAAGUAUAAUAUUAUAUUUGUUUAUCAAUUUUUUAUGGAGGAUUGGUGGGUGAUAAUUAUAAGAAGUGUUUAAGUUGCGAUUAAGAUCAUCUCUAGAUUUAAACUUCUCUCGACUAGAAAUUCACAUAUUGAUUGAUGAUUAAGAAAUAAAAAAAUAAAAAAUUAAAUUAUAUCCAUAAACUAUUAUUUAAUGACAUAAUAGAAUAAGAUUUGUAAAAGUUCAUGACAGCUUUAUAUGAUAGUCAACCUAUACUCAAGUCAUUUUUGUUUUUUAACAUUCUUCUGUGUAUUAAUUGGUCCAUACGGCCUGAAAUACACGUUUUACGUUUUCCGUUUUCUUGAAUAUUUUAUUUUUCCAAAAAAUUGUUAUGGUGGAGUCUACAAGGUUAGAAAUUAAUUAUAGCACAACUCGUCAAGUCCACACGUUUUAAUUAUUGGUCUUUUUACUUUACAGCUUCCCAGUAUUUUUUGGCCAGGUGUGUUGUAUAGAUAAUACAGAAGUGGCGGACCAAAAAAAAAAAAACAAAGAAGUGGCGGAAAAAGAAAAAAGAAAAAAAUGCAAAUGGCAAAAUCCCCUACACUUCAGUUUUAUAUCACCAUGAGGUCAUUUGUAAACCAGAAGCUGUACAGAGAUCAAAUCUCAAGUCGUGGGACUUCAAAGUCAGUCGAUUAUUUACCAAAACCCAAAAUUAUUUAAGGCUUCUGAGAUAAUAAAAUUAAUAAGAUAGAUAAUUGAGGUAUUUAAUUAAUUGAUUUUUUCUAUCCUUCUAGUUAGAUAUUUGCAAACAUAGUGACACUCUUGAUUAAGAAGAACACAUUGGUCAUCUCAAAAGCCUGCACUCAUCAAGCUACCAGUUCUGUCCGAAUAUGUUAAUGACGAAUUUAGAUUUUUAUUUCUUCAUUAUUCAACAAAUUCUGCGGCAGGCUAAAUCAUUAAUUAUUCACAACAGAAUGUAAUCAGACAAAUGUAUGUAUGUGUAUGAUGUGUGUAUAUAUGCAGUGGCGGACCCAGAAACUAAAAUGAGGGGGGGCUUAGUUCAAAAAAAAUUAUUUAACUUAGAUUUUUUUAAUGUUCACUCGAAUACAUUUUAAGUUUUAUAAACUCAAAUUUUAUUACUUUUUUAAAAAUUCUAAAUAAUAAUAGUAAUAAAUUAUUAUUUUUAAAUGCGUGAAAAUAUCAUUUUUUGAAGUAGUAUUUUAAAUACGUGAAAAUAUUAUUUUUCAAAAUAGUUUCCACAAAAUAUUUAAAAAAAUAAAAUAAUGUGGCUAAUGGGAUUUGAACCAAGGUUUUAAAAUCAUUAAAUAACACUCUCACCAUUGAACCACAAGUCUUUAAAUAUAUGAAAAAUGUGUCCAAAUUGUUUUAUCUAACGUUUUUAGAAGGGUCUUGGGGUACAUUUAAAAGAAAAUUUAAUGAUCCGGGGGGGCUGAAGCCCCUCCUGGGCCUUAAUUGGGUCCGCCCAUGUAUAUAUAUGUGUAUGAUGUGUGUAUAUAUAUAUGUGUGGGUGUGCGCGCGCGGACGUAAAAUAGAGUAAUAAUACAACCACGUAUAUCCACGACAGAAUAUUUUGGGGAUAAGAUUGUCCAAAAUAAAGCCACAUUUCGACAAGAUAAAGCCAUUUGCCUCACUAAGAAGGAUUUGUCCAUAAGAUUCCAAUGAUCCCCAAGACCACAAUUACAUAAGAUAAUGUAAAAGUGAUGUAAAAACUAAAUGUAAAAGUGAUGCAAAAACUAAAUGUAAAAGUGAUGCAAAAACUAUCCAUGUCAAUUAAACUAUCAUCUUCAUCAUUGUCAGCUAAAGUUUUAGAUGAUGAUCUAGUUCAUUGUAAUUUUUGAGCAAUGGCAAUCUACAAAGAAAAGGAUGCUCCUUGUAGCUAUCCUCUUCGAAGGUUGCAAACUGUGCAACUCUAAAUGGGAUUUUUCUUUAUACGUUAUUGUGUGCCACGUGAAAGAUAGACAAUGUAUUUAGCUCAACAAGUUGAGGAGGGGUUUUCCUAAUCAAGUUGUAGGAUAGAUCUAAGCUCUUGACUUGCUUCAAGUUUGAAAAACUCACUGGGAUUGUUCUGGUCAAAUUGUUGUGUGACAAAUUCAAUAUGAAUUCUAAUCAAUUCACCAACUUGAGGACGAAUCCGACCUGUCAAUUUAUUGCAAGAAAGAUCAAGCCUAUACAUGCUGUCGAGAGGUCGUCCCUUUAUGUGUAUGAUCUUUCCUUUGUUGUGAAGUCUACAGUUUCCUUCUACCCCAUUGAAGGCUGAAUGUAAUAAGGUUCCGAUCCGUCUUCCCCUCGAUUUGUUGGAUCACAAUGAAGUGCAGUGUUAUCUAAGCAAGAAGGAAUUUGACCAAAAAGAAUUGUUAUGAAAAGAUCCAUUAGCCACAAUUGUUUCAACUGCACAAUUGAAGUGGUACUUCACCUUCAAGAAUAUUAUUAGCUAAGAUAAGUUAUUUUAAUUGAGAAACCCUACUCAUCUAAUCCAGAAUGUUACCAUAGUGAUUAUUGAUUAUAGCUAACAUUUAAUGUCAUCAAGGAAGAGCUAUUGCUGCAUGUACCAUUAAUUAGUGGUCCUUGUAACAUGUUGUUGGACUAGUCAAAUUGUAUAAUAUUGAAAGGAUUGAAACAAGAUGGUAAACUUCCAAAAAUAUUGUUCCUUGAAAGGUCCAGAAUUUCAAGAAAAUGAAGCUGACAAAACUCUGAUGGAAUUAGAUCUUCAAGAUGGUUGUUAGUCAUCAUAAUAGUAUCUAAAAGUAAAGGUUACCUAACCAUGUUAGAAUAUUACUAGAAAUGACGUUAUCACUUAUAUAUAAGGACGACAAAAGAAUUCGGGUCUGGCCCGGAUCCGCAAAGAUCCGAAAAAUCUGGAUCCGGAAAAAUUCAUAUCCGCAUAUUAAAAAAUGUGGAUUUGGAUUCUAAGAAAGAGGAUUCGCAUGGAUCCGGAUCCAGAUCCGGAUGUAAGUGCAUCCAAAAAAUCAGAUAUCCGGAUUUGGAUUAAUUUUAAUAAUAUUAUUAAUUAAAUCAAAUUUUUAUUGGAAAAUAAUUAAAAUAUAUAAGUUAAAAUUGCAAACAACAAAUCGUGAAAUCUAGUAACCCUAAAAACACAUACGGCUGCUCCCAUGGCCCUGCGAGACUCGCCUCGCCUCAUCGCCUGCUCCCCUGCGCGGUUGCUCCCUUGCUCGCCCUCAGCCUCACGCCGAUAGUGGACAGCCGACUGACAUCUCCACUGCUCAGCUGCUCCUAACCACCCACAAGCCACAAGCGGCCGAACCUCACCACCCACAGCCACAAGCGACUGAAAUCAGCCCCUGCUCGGCUGCUCCCCACCACUCACAAACGGCCCAAAUCAACUUGCUCCCCACCUCUCACAAAUGGACGAAUGAGCCAACUGGCAAGCCCACGCCAAUUACUUUCUAGCGAAUCAAUAUUCAUAUUUUUAGUGAAUUAAUAUGUAAAAGCAUAAAUUUAGUGAAAAAUCGUGCCUGGACCUUUACGAAUUAGCUUAAUUUCAGUUUUUCUUUAAUUACUUUAAUUAGGUUUUGAUUUAAUUACUUUAAUUUUCAAAUUAUUGAAUUUUUAAAUUACAUUUUAAAUUAUUGAAUCUUAAUUUUGCGGAUCCGGAUAUCUGAAAUAUCCGCCCGCAUCUGUUACAGAUACUACCCACAUCUGGAUCUGUAUAAUUUUUUACGGAUUCAGAUGUAGAUCCAGAUAUAAAAAUAUAAAUGCGGAUCCAGAUCCGGAUCUAGAUUUUUCCUUCCUUACUUAUAUAUAGUCCUUGUAAAGUAAAACAGUUAGGCAAACUUUCAGGGAUCUCUCCAAUGACAAGAUUAGCAUCCAAGUUUAAUCUUUUUCAAAUUAAAUUUUUUAAAGAAUAAUUGACCUUACAGAUUGCUAUUUCACAAUACAAGAUACUUUAAGUUGAAGCAACUUAUGGCCAGGUGCUUAGGGAUUUUACUUGUCAAUUAGUCGUUGGAUAAGUCUGGAUACUACAACAAGUUCAUUUCACCAAAUGAAGAGGGAAUACUGCUAUUAAAAGCAUUGAUGGAAAUGUUAAAAACAACCAAAUUUGGGAAAACUUCUCCAAUUUUUAUUGGAAUGUGACCUUGGAGUUUGUUGCUCGAGACAUCUAAGGUUCAUAUUUUUGUGAGAAUGUAUUGGCAAAAGAAAUGUUUCUCAAAAGGAAAUAUUGACCAAAGAAAGCCUUUUCAACUUUCUAUUGUUUUCUAACAUCCAAGUUGGAAAUUCUCCAGUCAUGUUAAGGUGAGAGCAAUGAGACAUGAUUAGGGAUGGCAAAAAUCCCCACGGGGACGGGUACCCUCGGGGAUUUUCCCCAUUCGGGGAGGGUACGGGGAUAAUUUUAUACCCAAUUUUUUAUUCGGGGAGGGGACGGGGAAAAUUUUUUACCCAAUUUUUUAUUCGGGGAGGGGACGGGGAUGAGGUGGAAUCCCCAUCCCCUACCCAUUUCCCCAUUUUAAUUUUUAAUUUUAUUUUUAUUUUUAAAAUUACUAAUAAAUAAAUAACAAAAUUAUAAAUAUUGUUAAAAAUAAUAAAUAUUAAAAUAGUUAUAUUAUUAAACUUUUAAACUUAAUUAACUAAUUAAAGUCUUAAAUUUUUAAUCCAAACCACAAUGAUACAGGAGAGAGCUGCCUAAUUAUAAUUUACAACAAUUCUAAUCCUAAUUCGUAUCCUACAUUAGCUCGAAUUGCUAGAGAUAUUUUGGCAAUUCCAAUUACAACAGUUGCUUCUGAAUCAGCUUUUAGUACCGGUGGUAGAGUUGUGAGCUCACACCGUAACAAACUUCAUCCAAGCACAUUGGAGGCCUUAAUGUGCUGUCAAAGUUGGUUACGAGCUUACAAUAGCAGUAUGAGUUUAUUUUACAUUGUAAUUAUAUUAUACAGUUAUUAAUAUUUGCGCUUAUAAGUUACGUUACUUAUAUCAUUUUCAUUGUUUUAGGUUUGAAAUCUGAGGCUAGCUCUCAAUUUGCCACAUUUCUCGAGGAAGAACAGGAGGAGCAGGAGGUAAAUAGUUUUAUUAAAAAUAUUAAUUAAGUAUCUACAUUUAUUUUAUUGCCGAUAUAAAAAUAAUUUUUUUUCUUUUUAUUGUAGGAUUAUGAAGAUUGAGUCAUUGACAAAGAUAAUUAUUUUAAUAAUUUAUAUUUUGAAUGUGACUUUGAAAUGGAUCAAUAUUAAUGCAAGAUAUAUUUUGAAUUUUAUUUUUAUCUGAAUUUUUUAUUUUAAUAUGAUUAAUUUAAAAUCGAAAAUAAAAAAAAAUGUAUUAGACUAUUAAUUAUUCGGGGACCGGGGAUCCUCGGGGAUCCCCUGUUAUUAUUCGGGGAGGGGAUGGGGAUUCACUUAAGCAAUUCUGACGGGGACGGGGAGGGGACGGGGACAUAACAAAAUAUCGGGGAUGGGUAUGGGGAGAUUGGUCCCCUCCCCUCCCCUCCCCAUUGCCAUCCCUAGACAUGAUUGGUAAAAGGAAUUUUGAAAAAGUGCCAUUAGCUCCAUGACCAGACAAUGAGAUUGAACUUAAUUGGAAUUGUGGGGUCAAAGAAGAAUGUGAUGACCCAAUUUUUGCAUAUAUGUCACCAUAAAAAAUCUUGAAUUUUGAGUGAUUGAAAAGUGGUUUUAUAAGAAAAUGAUUAUAAAUUCUAGCUUUCGUAAGGAAUGUGGCAGGUAGUUGAGGUGUAUUAGCAAGGUAACUGGGGUACACCUAUAUCACAAGAAGUUGAUUUGGCGUUGGAGUUUUAAUCUACACAUGGUAGUUAAAUAAAUGCUACAUAAGUUAUUUAAGCUUCGUGACGUGAUUGGAAUUGCCUAUGGUGAUUAAAUAACUACCUAUAGCACUUAAUGGUUAGAUAAAUAACCUUGAUGGUAGAUAAUCGCUAUGGUAGUUAUUUACGUGUUAUAUCAUGGAGGGAGUCACUCUAAGGGAAAGCCAAGAGGAGAAAAGCCAAGGUGUAACCAUAAACCAUAGUGGUUGAGGCAUAUGAAACACUUAAGAGAACUAGGUGAAUAGUUUUUAGGGAGAGGGAGAAAUUGUAAGCUUGGCUGGUGAUUAAUAAACUCGGCAUGUGUGUGUUUGUCCUCAUGGGAGAAAUUGUAAGCUUCUAUGUUAUUCUGUUUACUAUUUUCUAUUCUUAUUGUUUGUUGUUGUGUGAGAUUCUUUUCUUGGUAUUUCUUUGUUUGUUCUGUAACUUAGUUGGUAUCUGGGGUACCCGAGCUAUGACAGAGGACAACAAGUUACUCAAGGAGCUACUCUAGUCAAUUGAUUUGGCAGCGAUUCUAACAAAAUCGUAUGAGAGCCAGGUUUCAUGGCUUAUAUUAAGUUGGGAGUUGAGAAGUUCGAUGGGAAGAAUGACUUCAACUUUUGAAAGGUGAAGAUGAAAGCUUUGUUAGUACAAUAAGGGCUAGAAGUUGCCCUAGAGAAAGAUCCAAAUGGGAAUGAUCUUCUAGACAAUGAUUUGAAGAAAAAUGGAAAUGCACGUAGUACCAUCAUUCUAAGCCUUAGAGAUGAAGUCUUGAGAGAAGUCUUGGGAGAGAAAAAUCUAUUUCAGGCAUCUAGGCAAAGCUGGAGACAAUUUACAUGGCAAAGUCUUUAGUAAAUAGAUCUUAUGUAAAAAAGACUUUAUAUGCUUUUAGUGGAGGAAGGUUCUUUUGUUACGGAGCAUAUUCAUAACUUUAACAAAGUGAUAAUGGACCAUGAGGGCAUUGUUGUAAGCAUUGAAAGAUGAGGACAAGGCAAUCAUAUUAUUGAAUUCUCUACCGGACUCUUAUGAGUAAUUCAUGGAUACCUUGCUGUAUGGAAAAUAAAGUUUGACAAUAAAAGAAGUUAAGGCUCCUUUGAACUUUAAAUAAAUAUAGAAUAAAUCUGAGGGUACCUAGGCUUGGGAGAAGGUCUAAUAGCAACAAAGGGCCAGAUCUGAGAAGAAGGAUUUUAAGAAGAAUCAUAACAGGUUUAAGUCUAAGAACAACGGUAAAAAAUGUUUUUAUUACAAGAAAGAAGGACCAUUUAAAAGGGAUUGCCAAGAAAAAAAAGCUAUGGAAGCAAAAAUUAAGGAGAAUUAGGGUGAUGCUGCAGCAGUUGCAUCGAGGGAUCCAACUAUUCUACAACCAAGUUCAACAGUUUCGAUAAGGACAACUAUGACUAUGCAGAUAUGCUACUCACAUUAGAUGUGAAAAUGAAUGAUGAAUGGAUUCUAGACUUAGGUUGGUUUUUUUCAAAGAAGUCCUAGUCGAAACUUGUUUUUGGAGUACUAAAUAAUUGAUAGUGAUAAGGUCUAUUAGGAUUAAAAUAUUUGAUGGAGUAGCUAGGGAACUUAAAUAAGUUAGACAUGUUUUGGACUUGACGAGAUACCUUUAUCUCCUUAAGUAUGCUUGAGAAUAUAGGGUAUAGCUUUAAGGGUAAAAACGAAUCUUUGAAGGUAGUUAAAGAUUCAUUAGUUGUAAUCAAAAGAGGAAGGAAAAAUAGUGUCUAUGUGUUAAAAGGUACCUCAAUGACAAGUAGUGCAUCCAUGCAUGCCGGAGUGACUUGUAAUAAGAUUAGGCUUUGGCACUUGAGACUUGGUCGUAUUAGUGAGAAAGGUCUAAAGAAGCUAAGUAGGUAGGGUGGUUUUGGUGAUGACAAAAUUGAACGACUAGAGUUUUAUGAACAGUACAUGUUGCGCAAAGCUACUAGGGUGAAGUUUAAUGCUACUGAACACAGACCUAAGGGCACCCAAGAUUUCAUCCAUUAGAUUUAUAGGGAUUCGCUCUAGUUAACUCACAUAGAGAUGCCAUGUACUUUCUCUAACUUUUUGAUGAAUAUCAAGAAAACUUUGAUUAUAUAUACUAAAGUUUAAAGACCAAAUACCUAAUACUUUUAAGAUUUGGAAAGCAUUAAUAGAUAAGCAUAUUGGGAAGAAUGUUAAAAGCUUAGGACGAUAGGCUAGAGUUUUGCAACAUGAAAUUUGAUGUGUUUGGCUAGAAGCAUGAAAUUGCUAAGCAAAGGACGGUAGUUGGGACACCUUAGUAGAACAGGCUUGUAGAAACGAUGAACAGAAUGUUGCUGAACAAGGUCAGGUAUAUGCUAAUUCAAGCAAAUUAACCUACCGCAAACUUUCUGGGAAAAAGCUAUAAUGACAAUAGUAUAUUUAGUUAACAGGAAUCCCUUAGUUACCAUAAAUUGUUUGACACUAAAAGAAAAGUGGUGCGGACAUUAUACAAAUAUUGCGAAGCUAAAGAUCUUUAGGUGCCAAAUGUAUGUUAAUGUAAAGCAAGGAAAGUUAGAACUAAGAGCCUUAAAGCGAAUCUUUGUAGGUUAUCUAGAGGGUGUAAAAGGCCAUAAAGUGUCAUGCACUAACUUUAGGCCUCCAAAGUGUAUCAUAAGUAGAACGUCACAUUCUAUAAAGUAGUUAUGAUACAGGUUGUUGUUAACUAUAAUAAGAAAAUCAUGAAGUAACUGAUACAAUAAAGAGUAUAGAGUUUGAAGUGGAUCUUACUAAAAAAAAAAGUUGAGGAAGUUGAUCUUGGGGUUGAAGUACCUUAGGAGCACCCAAAAAAUCAACAUGGACCUCAGCAUCCUUAAAUAGAACUGUUAAAUUAUCAAUUAGUAAGAGAUAGACAAAGAAGACCAGUAAAACCACCUGAGAGAUAUGGUUUUACUAAGAUCAUCUCGUAUUCCUUGUCUGUUACAGAGAAGGUAAAAUAGGAUGAACCAAAAACAUUUGCAGAAGCAAUGAUGAGCAGUGACAAGAAAUAGUAGAGCCAAGUUAUAUAAAAAGAAAUGGAUUCACUAGAUAAAUAUCGAAUAUGGACAUUCGUACAAAGGCAUGUUGAGAAGAAGAUUGUAGGAUGUAAGUGGAUCAACAAGAUCAAAGUCGGCAUCUCAGAAAAUGAGCUCAAAAGUUACAAGGCCAUAGUUAUGGCUAAAGGGUUUACUAAGCAAAAAGAGAUUGACUACAUUGAGGUGUUUUCACUUGUUGUAAGGCAUACAUCUAUACGAGUACUAUUGGCCUUAACAGUAAAUUUAGACUUGUAGUUAGAACAGAUGGAUGUCAAGACAACUUUCUUACAUAAAGAGCUAGAGGAAGAAAUUUAUAUGGCUCAACUACAGGGAUACAAGAUACUCGGCUUUGACGAUAAAGUAUGCCUGCUGAAGAAAUUUUUUUAUGGGCUGAAGCAAUCAUCAAGAGUGGUACAAGAGGUUUGAUGUGUUUAUACUCAAGACUAGGUUGAUAAGAAGCAAGUUUGACAGUGGCGUGUGCCUAAGGAACACUGAGCAAGGUGGAGCUAUCUAUUUAUUACUAUAUAUAGAUGAUAUGCUCAUACCAUGCAGAAAUAUAGAGGAAAUACAAAGCUUAAGCUGCUGUUGCCUAAGGAACACUGAGCAAGGUGGAGCUAUCUAUUUAUUACUAUAUAUAGAUGAUAUGCUCAUACCAUGCAGAAAUAUAGAGGAAAUACAAAGCUUAAGCUGCUGUUCAGUGGUGAAAAUUCUUGGAAGGAAAAUUAUGAGGAACAAAAUAGAAGAUUACAUCUUUUUAACUCAGUAGAGUUACAUAGCAAAGAUUCUUGAGAGUUUUCACUUGGAAAGGUCAAAACCAGUGCAAACACCCCUAGUUAUGCACUUUAAGUCGUCAGAAGAACAGUCACUUACGAAAGCUAUUGGAAAGUAAUUUAUGAUUAAAGUUUUUUAUGCAAGUGAAGUGGGAAGCUUAAUGUAUGCUAUGAUAUGCAUAAAACCUGACAUAGCCCAAGCAGUCAAUGUGGUGAGUAUGUACAUUGCGAACUUGGGAAAGGAACACUGGGAAGCUGUUAAAUGGUUGCUAAGGAACCUCCAAGAAAGCUCAUAUAGAGGUUUGCUAUAUAGAAAAGUAGAGGAUUCUACAACCAACUUUGAGGGAUAUAUUGAUUAAGAUUGUACUAGUAACUGAGAUAGAAGAAGGUCAAUGACAGGGUAUCAGUUUGGGGUGAAUAGUAUUACAGUAAGUUAGAAGACUCCUCUGCAAUCUAUAGUUGCUUUAUCUUCGAUGGAAGUUGAGUAUGUUCCUCUGGCAUAGGCAAUUAAGGAGUUAAUCUGGCUGAAAUGAUUGAUUAAGGAGCUGGUUGGAGAUCUAAGUAGUAUUUGUCUGUUUUAUGAUGUUCAAAGUGCAAUAUAUUUAAGUAAAAACUAGGUGCAUCAUGAGAGAACAAAGCACAUAGACGUGAGAAUGCAUUUCAUUCGAGAUGAAAUUAAAAAAUGUACACUGGAGCUGAAAAAAGUAUAUACUUCAGGGAACCUAGCAGAUAUGAUGACUAAAAGCUUUGCUGCCGAGCAAGUUCAAGUUAUGCUAGGACUUGGUUGGGGUAACCUACCUUUGAGCUACAGUGUAGGUGGAGGACAAAUGUAACUGCUGCUUGAUGGAUUUAUAACCAAGGUGAAGAACUGUAAGAUAAUGGUUAUGAAUUCUAGCUUCCAUAAGAAAAUGUAGCGAGCAGCUGCGGGGUAUUGAUAGGGUGGAUAGAGUACACCUAUAUCACAAGAAGCUGAUCCAACAUUGGAUUUGUAAUUUGCAUGGCACAUAGCAGUUAAAUAACUACUAGGAGUUAUUUCAUAGAGGGAGUUACUCUAAGGGGAAGGCAAGAAGAGAAAAGCCAAGGUGCAACUGCGGACCAUAGCGGUUGGGGUAUGGGAAACACUUAAGAGAACUAGAUGAAUAGUUUUCGGGGAGAGGAAGAAAUUAGAAGCUUGGUAACCUCUAAGAAUGAAUAUAUUUCCAUUGUAAAAUCCUUGGUGAUUAAUAAAUUCGGCAAGAGUGUGUUUUUCCCUAUGGAUUUAGGCCUAACGAAGCUGAAGCACGUAAAUUGCUUGUGUUAUUCUUUUUGCUCUUUUAUUAUUCUUAUUAUCUGCUGUUGUGUGAGAUAUUUUCUCGGUAUUUCAUUAUUUGUUUUAAAACUGGUUUGUUCCACGACUAAGUUGGUAUCUAGCAUACCUGAGGCGUGACAGAGGACAAUUGGGUUGCUCAAGGAGCUAUCCUAGUCGAUUAAUUUGGCAACGAUUCUUACAGGUUCAAGUGAAAUUGGGAUUUGGAAGUGAUUGUUUGAAAGCCACAGCUCUUAAAUAGAUGUUAGAUGCAUGAGGGAAGACGAGGAGAUGGUAAGUUGAUUGAGAGACUCAUCUAAUACUCGAAGGGAAGUUAAAUUUGGCAAGCACCAAGGCAAGCUCCACUUAAAUCAUUAUGAUCAAUGUAUUACUCUUGCAACUCUUGCAAAUUGAUCACUCUUGCAACUCUUGCAAAUGCACCAACUCACAAAGGCCUGAAAAAUUAUUCAUCAAUCCCUUAGUAUAAAACAAUUAAUAAAUGCAUAAAAUCCCUUUAACACAUAUAUUAAUUAAAUAAUAAAUAAGUUUAACAUUUUAAAUUAUUUUAGCAUUAUGAUAGAUUAUCACUGUUAAUUUUGAUGCAUUAAUUAAUAUUUCAUUAUGCAUGCAUAAUUUGGUCAUGAUCACAAUAGUAGUGUGAGAGGUUCAGGUUUGUCAUCAAAAUAGUGAAUAGUAUUAAAAAAUGGUCCAAAUUCUUGAAAUUAAUUAACUUGUAGUAUUAAAACUAAUCAAGCAAUAAAUCAAAAAUUUCACUGGAUAAGAUAAUUGAUGCAUGCAUGUCAAGGUAUAUAAUCAACACAUGUUCAUUUUAUUUUGUUUCGGUUCACCACUUUAUCUGUCUUUAUUAUUGUAACAAGCGUUAGUUACGAAAAAUGACGUGGCUCCAAUCAUGUGGGAGAAGCCUAAGGGGCAUGAUUCUAAAGGGUGUUCCAUGCAAAUCACCUUGGAAACUAUUGCCACUAAACCUAAAGAUUACACUAACGAUGCAAUAAUGAAGGAGGCGAAAGGUCCCCCCAAUACAAAUCUUGAUGAAUUUGAAUCUGGGUUGGAGGUGGCCGAAAGUAAGAGGAGAAGAGCUACAAGUGGGCCUAGCAUUAUUGAAGCCCAAACGGAAGGAAUACAAUUAGUUCAGGAGGAGAUGGAAGUUGUGUCAAGUCCAAAAAAUGGAGUAAUGAUGGGCCUUGGGGAUCAGGCCCGCCUAGCCCAAUGAGUGUAAUAAGUUGGAACUGUCGUGGGCUGGGUCACCCACGUGCAGCUCAAGUUCUUCUCGAUCUUGUAAACCAUAAAAAGCCACAUUUCCUUUUUCUAAUAGAAACUCUUAGUUAUAGAGAUAAACUAGAAUCUCUCAAAGGUCAAUUGGGCUUUGACCAUGUUUUUAUAGUAGAUAGAUCUAGAAGAAGUGGUGGGUUGGCUUGGUUUUGGAGAAAAUCGGAUCAGGUAGAGUUGCUUCAGUUUAAUCAAAACCUAAUUGAUGUAGUGGUAGAGGUGAGAGAUUUGGGGAAGUGGAGGACAACUGGGUUUUAUGGUCUUCCGAGUUCUUUGCAUAGGAAAGACUCAUGGAAUCUUCUUCGAUUGAUUGCAAGUACUUCAAAUCUGCCUUGGGUAUGUGUGGGGGACUUCAACGACAUCCUAUCGAGUGAAGAGAAGCGAGGAGGCCGUAUGAGACCAAAUUGGAUGAUUCAGGGGUUUCGAGGAGUGGUUAAAGAUGCAGGACUUCAAGAUAUUGGGUUAGAGGGGUAUCCAUUCACCUGGGAACGAUCGAGAGGAAAAGAAUAGUGGGUAGAGGAAAAGCUCGACCAAGCUCUUGCUAAUCAUGACUGGAGAAAAUGUUUUUCGAAAGCUGUGGUGUCUACGGUUGAAGUUUGUAUUUCAGAUCAUCUUCUUAUCUUUCUAGACCCACAACCGUUGAAUGAAGUAAGAAGAAAAAGAAGAUUUAGAUUUGAGAACAUUUGGCUGAAAGAACCAGAAUGUAAGAAUGUCAUUCAACAGAGUUGGAACGAUGUAGAGGGAGUCUCACUCCAAGGAAAGUUAGCGAGAUGUGGAGAGAAGCUGUUUGAAUGGGGCAGCAGUAAAUAUCAAAAUUUUAAAAUCCAGAUUGGGGACUGUAAGAAGAAAAUGGUUGAAUUUCGCGGCAAGAGGGAUGCAAAUAGCAUGAAGAUUUUUGACCAAGAGAAAAAGAAAUACAAUAGUUUACUUCAUAAUCAUGAGAUUUAUUGGAAACAAAGGGCCACAUUGAUGUGGCUUAAAGAGGGCGAUAACAAUACUCGGUUUUUCCACAACCAAGCCACAGCUAGAAGAAGGAGAAAUUCGAUUUCUAGACUGCGUAACAGAUGUUAAGGAAGCUCACACUUGUAUAGUAGUCAGCAGAACAUAGGAUGAUAGCAGCAAGAUUAAUCAGUUACGCAUUGAUGAUGUGGCAUGCCAUGUCAUGCCUGGUGAUUAUGAAAUAUGUGUACACGUGACUGAUUAGUUACAGGUUGUUAUAUUCAGUUAUCAAGUUGAGCUUAAGCACUUGUAUAUAAGAAAUAAUUCAACACACAUUACUUGUGUAUUUUGAUUAAUAAGAUCAAAAGUUUUCUCAUAUCUAUUUCUUAAUUCUUUUCACUUUCCUUUACUUUCUAAGUAACCAAACAUCAUUUUCAAUCUUCAACUUGGUAUCAGAGCUACGGAAAAGUAAUGGCAUCAGUAAAUCUUGUUUCAUCUUCUGCACCAGUUCUUAACACAACAGUUAACUCAGCAAUCUCUUCAUUUACGUUCAACACUCCUGUUAAACUUGAUCAAUCUAAAUUUCUGAUAUGGAGAUCUCAAGUUUUGGCUUCAAUCCGUGGUAACAGACUUGAGAAGUUCAUAGAUGAUUCAGCAACUCCACCUCCAUCUCACAUUGCUCAAAGGAUUGGUGAUGAUAUCAGAUCUGUGGAGAAUCCAGAGUUUGUAAUUUGGAGAUCACAAGAUCAAGUACUUCUUGGAUGGUUGCUCUCAUCAAUGAGUGAAGGUAUUAUUAGCUUAAUGUUUAAUCUGGAAACUUCUGUUGAGGUGUGGAAGGCUAUUGAAACACAAUUUGGCUCAUAAUCUAAAUCUAGACUUUUACAUCUGAGAUACAUGAUGAACUCAACUAGGAAAGAUGAUUUGAAAAUCAAUGAUUACUUCAUUAAAAUGAAAUCUAUAGCUGAUAACAUGGCUGCAGCAGGAAGUGCUUUGAAUAAUGAUGAUUUAAUUCUGCCUAUACUCUCUGGUUUGGGACCAGAAUACAAUUCUGUAGCCACUUAUAUCACUGGACAAGUAGGUGUUGGAAAGAUGAAUGUUAAUGAGGCUUAUGCCAUGCUUUCAACUCAAGAAGCAAGGAUCGAGCAACAUGCUCAAAUGCUUGCUGAUACAAAUGUGAAACAGAAUUUUGAAGCUAAUCUAGCUCUAAAUAAAGGAUUUAAGAAAGGAAACAUGUCUGGUGGUAAAAACUUUGGUGGUUAUGGAUACAAUACUGGAAAUAAUGGAGGUUUUGGAACUAAUCAUUACAAAGGCAAUUAUGGAGGAUCUGGAUAUGGAUUUGCUGGUAAUGGAGAUUCUCAGUACAAAGCUUAUCAAGGUGAUAAUCAGAGAGGUGGAGGAGGCAAUUGGAAUCCAAAUGCUGGUAAUGGAGGAUAUAAUGGUAGACUAUCUGGAUAGAUCAAGCCUCAGUGGAAUAGUUCUAAACCAACCUGUCAAAUAUGCCUCAAGACUGGACAUACUGCAAACAUCUGCUGGAAACUUACAGUGUUCAUGAAUUCUGGAGCAUACAGACCACCACUAAAUAGAAAUCCAAAAGUUGCAUACUUAGCCAACAUAGAGGGACCAUCUGAUGCAAACUGGUACCUGGACAGUGGAGCUACACAUCAUCUGACAAAUGACAUGAAUAAUAUGCAUGUUUCUGAAAGCUUUACAGGUACUUCUAAGCUCAUUGUUGGUAAUGGUGCUGGUUUAAGCAUAACUCACUUAGGCAGUAUAGUCUUGAAAAUGCAUAAAAAUAGAGAUGAUGCCUUAUCAACACUUAAGCUCAAUGACAUGCUCCUAGUACCACAAAUCACCAAAAACCUCAUUAGCAUAUCCAGACUUACCAAAGAUAAUAAUAUAGUGGUUGAAUUCACUGACAAAUUUUGUUUUGUGAAGGACAAGAUGAAGAAUGUGGUAAUAUUGCAGGGCAAGGCUGAAAAGAGUCUCUACAGAUUGCUAUUGGUUUCUUCUAAUAAAACUCUUAUCACAUCAUCUGGUCAGAGUUAUAUUGCUAAUGUAGAGUCAACCAAGACAUUAACUCCUCUUUCAAUGUUUUCAAGUGUUAGUUCUGAAUUCAAAAAUAAAACCAACUGCUUACACACUUCAGCAGUUCCUUGUAUAAAUUCUGAGUGUUUGUUAAGUACUUCUGUAUUACAUCAAAGGUUAGGUCAUCCAUCUUCACAUGUUUUAAAUCAUGUAAUCAAAACAUGUUCAUUUGUUCAAACUAUCAAUGGAAACAAAACCUUUGACUCUUGUGAUGCUUGUAAAAUGGGAAAGAUGCACAGAUUACACUUUCCUGUCACUAAAACAAAAACAAAGUUUCCUUUAGAAAUAUUACACACUGAUCUAUGGGGACCAUCUCCUGUGAUCUCUCCUCAAGGAUAUAGAUAUUAUGUAAGUUUUGUUGAUGAGUGCACCAGAUUCACUUGGAUAUUUCCAUUAAAAACAAAAGAUGAAACUCUCUCUGUCUUUAAGAUCUUCAAAACCCAAGUUGAAAAACAACUCAACAGAUCCAUUAAAUGUCUUCAAUCUGAUUGGGGGGGAGAGUUCAGAUCCUUUGUUAACUAUCUUCUUGCCGAGGGAAUCCAAUUCAGACACUCAUGUCCCUAUACUUACAAUCAAAAUGGUUUAGUAGAAAGAAAACACAGACACAUCACUGAACUUGGGUUAACUUUUACUUGCACAAGCUACCAUGCCUCUUAAAUUUUGGUGGGAUUCUUUUCAUACAGCAACCUAUAUUAUAAACAGACUACCCACUCCUGUAUUGAGCAUGAAAUCUCCCUAUGAAUCUCUAUUUCAAUUUUCACCAGAUUACAAGUUUCUAAGAGUCUUUGGUUGCUCAUGUUUUCCUUUCCUUAGAGAGUACAAUAAACACAAGUUUCAGUUUCAUACAUCCAAAUGUGUCUUUCUGGGUUAUAGCCCUUUACAUAAAGGCUAUAAAUGUUUACAUCCCUCUGGUAAAACUUAUAUAGCUAGUCAUGUUUUGUUUGAUGAAUCUUCCUUUCCAUAUUCAUCUCUUUUUCAUAUUUCUUCAUCUGGAAAUCAUUCCUCAGAUUUCCAGUAUAAUAUUCUCAAAUGUUAUACAGUUCCAGUUUCCAAUAGCAAUCAAGACACUUUUGAAGCUAAUGCAGCUGAUAAUGACCAUUAUUCUCCUCUAUGUUCUUCUCACAACACACCAAAUGUUUCCUUACCAUCAAAUAACCUUCCUACUGACUCACUUCAUUACUCAUCACUCACACAACCAGCUUCUGAUCUAAAUACUUCCAUACAGCCCAAUAAUGCCACAUCACUACCAAAUCAGCAAAAUCCACCUUCUUUACCAGUUGAAACACACCAACUAUCAGUACCAACACAAGUCAAACCACUCAUAUCUACACACAAAAUGAUCACUAGAGCUAAGGCUGGAAUCUUCAAACCAAAGGCCUUCAUUGCCAACCAUAACAGCCUAGAACCAUCCAACACCUAUGAGGCAUUAUCUGAUCCUAAGUGGAAGGGAGCUAUGCAGGCAGAGUAUGAUGCUCUCAUGAAGAACAAUACCUGGAGCCUAGUACCUAUAUCUUCCUCUUAUAAACCAGUUGGAUGCAAAUGGGUUUUUCGAACUAAAUACAACACUGAUGGUUCAAUCUCCAAGUAUAAAGCAAGACUAGUUGCGAAGGGGUUUCACCAAACUGCAGGCAUUAACUAUUCAGAAACCUUCAGCCCUGUAAUCAAAUCUUCAAUAGUAAGAGUUAUCCUAAGCUUAGCUGUUAUGAAAGAGUGGAAAGUAAGGCAAAUUGAUAUAAAUAAUGCCUUUCUUAAUGGAUAACUCUCUGAAGAUGUGUAUAUGACACAACCUGAGGGUUUUGAAUCUAAGGAAGGCUACAUUUGCAAACUUAACAAAGCUUUGUAUGGGCUAAAACAAGCUCCAAGAGCUUGGUAUGAAAAGCUCAAAGGCUGUCUAACUGACUGGCAGUUUAUCAAUUCUAAAGCUGACACUUCUCUCUUCAUCAAGCAUGAUACAAGAGGAUUGUUCUCAUCUAUGUAGAUGACAUUCUAAUUACUGGCCCUGAUUUUGAUCUACUGGAGGUAUUCAUAACUAAACUCAGCACAGUGUUUGCUCUUAAGGAUUUGGGGCUGGUUGCUUAUUUUCUUGGAGUGGAAGUGUGUUACACUGCUCAGGGAAUGCAUCUUUCUCAAACAAAGUAUAUCAAAGAUUUAUUGAGUAGAGCUUCAAUGCAGAAUUGCAAAGGUUCUGAUACACCUUUUAGUAUUGGUUUCAAGCUGGAAAGAGCUGUACAAGGUUCUUUGGGGCAAGAGUUUGAGGAUCCCACAUUGUACAGAAGUCUUGUUGGUGGCCUUCAAUAUCUAAUUCUUACCAGACCUGAUAUUGCCUACUCAGUUCAUAAACUCAGCCAAUAUCUCAAUGCUCCAACACUUCAACACUGGUUGGCCUGCAAGAAAGUUCUUAAAUAUCUUCAAGCAACAAUCACCUACGGCCUUCACAUUCAAAAGGAGGGAAUACUUGAAACUACUGGAUUGACUGGUUAUUCAGAUGCUGAUUGGGCAUGUGAUGUUGAUGAUCGCAAGUCCAUUGGAGCUUAUUGCAUAUAUCUUGGUAACAAUCUAAUCUCUUGGUCAUCUAAGAAGCAAUCUAUUGUUGCUAAAUCCAGCACAGAGAGUGAAUACAGAGCUCUAUCCUCAGCAAGCUCAGAAUUAUCAUGGCUGCAAUCCUUAUUUUCUGAGCUUAAGAUUAUGAAGUUACCUCCUCCAGUUCUUUGGUGUGACAACCAAAGUGCUGGUGACUUAGCUAGGAAUCCUGUUUUUCAUUCCAGAUCAAAGCACAUUGAACUAGAUGUUCACUACAUCAGAGACAAGGUGCUAAAGAAGGAGCUGGAAAUCAGAUAUAUUCCCACAGAGGAACAAGUUGCUGAUGUGUUUACAAAACCUUUGUCAUUUCCUAAGUUCAGUUACUUCCGCUCCAAGCUCAAUGUUAUUAACAGACCAUUGAGCUUGAGGGGGGAUGUUAAGAAAGCUCACACUUGUAUAGUAGUCAGCAGAACAGAGGAUGAUAGCAGCAAGAUUAAUCAGUUACGCAUUGAUGAUGUGGCAUGCCAUGUCAUGCCUGGUGAUUAUGAAAUAUGUGUACACGUGACUGAUUAGUUAAAGGUUGUUAUAUUCAGUUAUCAAGUUGAGCUUAAGCACUUGUAUAUAAGAAAUAAUUCAACACACAUUACUUGUGUAUUUUGAUUAAUAAGAUCAGAAGUUUUCUCAGAUCUAUUUCUUAAUUCUUUUCACUUUCCUUUACUUUCUAAGUAACCAAACAUCAUUUUCAAUCUUCAACUACAGACAAGGUAAUUGGUGCACUACGUCCGAGGAGGUAGAUAAUACUAUUUUUUCAUAUUAUAGUGAGUUAUUCAAAUCUGGUGGCAGUGUGUUUGGGCCUAUCAUUGAUGCUGUCCAACCGAAAAUAACAGAAGAGUAGAAUCGUUUUCUUCUUUCCCCAUUCACAGUGGAGGAAGUGAAAAAUGCAGUGUUUUCUAUGCAUCCUGAUAAGUCGCGGGGUCCUGAUGGUAUGAACCCGGCAUUUUAUCAACAGUUUUGGUAUGUGGUGGGUAAAGAUGUCACAAAAUUUUGUUUAAGUUCUAUUGCUGAUAGAAAAUUCCCUGUUGGUUUGAACAACACCUCAAUCGUUUUGGUCCCAAAAAUUCAGAAUCCAGAGAAGCUUGAGGACAUGAGACCGAUAGCUCUUUGCAAUGUCCUCUACAAGAUAAUUGCAAAUAUGCUAGCUAAUAGAUUGAAGGAGGUACUGGAUUGCAUUAUAUCUGAGUCUCAAAGUGCCUUUGUCCCUGGUCGCCUUAUCACUGACAAUGUGCUGAUUUCCUCGGAGAUUAUGCACUACAUGAAGAGGAAAAAACAGGGAAAGCAUGGUGUGGCUGCACUAAAGUUGGAUAUGUCCAAAGCAUAUGACAAAGUUGAAUGGAAGUAUUUAGAAGCAAUGAUGAGGAAAAUGGGUUUUGAUGAAGACUGGAUAAAAUUAAUAAUGCAUUGUGUCUCUUCCGUGAGUUACUCAGUGGUUCGGGAUAACACUACAGUUGGUCCUAUUGUCCCUUCGAGAGGCCUACGUCAAGGAGAUCCUUUAUCUCCUUAUCUUUUCUUAUUAUGUGCUGAAGGUUUAAGUGUUUUGAUCAGAAAUAGGGAGAAGUCUGGUUUCCUCCAUGGAGCUAGAAUUGUGAAUGGGGGCGCCUGUCGUCUCUCAUCUGUUCUUUGCCGACGACUGCUUUCUUUUCUUCCGAGCAAAUAGGGAGGAGGCUAGAAUUAUUAAGAGCAUUCUAGCGAUUUAUGGGGCUGCCUCUGGUCAGAAAGUGAAUUUUAAUAAGUCAUCAAUCUCUUUCAGCGGAAAUACAAGAGCAGAUUCAAUUGCUAGUGUCUGUAAUAUUCUAGAAAUCAAAGCCACGACUUAUCAUGGUAUAUAUCUCGGACUUCCCUCUGCUGUUGGUCGUAACAAAUUCGAGGCUUUUAGAUUUAUUAAAGACAGUUUGGCACAGACUUGAGAGUUGGAGUGGAAGGCUUUUAUCUAAAGCCGGGAAAGAAAUUAUGUUAAAACGGUUGUCCAAGCCCUCCCUAACUAUACUAUGAAUUUAUUCCUUCUCCCUUCUGCCUUUGGAUUUAUGUAGACAAAUUGAGGUGCUGUUAAACUCUUUCUGGUGGGGGCGAAAGAACAACAGUACAGAGGCAUAAAUUGGAUGUGUUGGGAUAGACUUUGUAGACCAAAGGCUGCUGGUGGUUUAGGAUUUAAGAAAUUGCAAUUUUUAACUUGGCAAUGCUUGGGAGACAGUGCUGGAGGCUUCUAACGAGACCUAACUCUUUGGUGGCUAGAAUUUUGAAGGCAAAAUAUCACCCAAAUACUAACUUUUCUCAGGCAUCAAUUGGGAAGAAUCCGAGCUACUCUUGGCGUUCUAUUAUGGCUGCACAUGAUUUAGUUCUCAAAGGUAGUCGGAUAAGAAUUGGGAACGGGACUUCCACCCUAAUAAAAAAUGAUCCUUGGCUUCCUGACUUGUCGAAUGGUUUGGUGAGUUCUGACUUGGAUGAUGAUCUUUCAGUGGCUACUGUUAAAACUCUUUUUGUUGAUGGUAGAAGGGAAUUGGAUGUUGACUUGAUUUCCUCAACGUUUAAUGAACGAGAUAGAAAUUUAAUUCUUAAUAUCCCGCUAAGUCAGCGAAAUGAGGAAGAUGUAUGGUACUGGCUGGCGAAUACAAGUGGAGUUUACUCGGUCAAAAGUGCAUAUAGAUUGUUACUUGGUGAAGUUUCUGAUGUUGCCGGCAAUAUGUGGAGAAAAAUCUGGAAGCUUGAGGUUCCUGCUAAAGUGAGAAAUUUCGUUUGGAGAGAAGCUAGCAACGUCCUACCAACAGCAGUCAACCUUCGCUCCAAACAUGUAAGUCUAAAUGAUCUUUGCCUGGUUGGUAACUUUGAUAAAGAAAUUGUUCUUCACCUGCUGGUUGACUGUCCCUUUGCAAGAACCUGUUGGAUUAAAUCAAAAGUGGGCUUCUUUGGUAUCUAUUCAUCAUUCAAGGAUUGGCUUCAAGCUUUGUUUAGGAACUGCACUAAUGAGCAGUGCUGGAUUGCUGUUAUGGUCUGCUGGAAGCUGUGGUGCAACAGGAAUAAUCUGGUUUGGCAGGGGAAAUGCGACACAGCAAAACAGAUUGUUAAUGCAGCUGGUAAUUUGUUGUUUCAAUGGCAGUCAGCUAAAUCCUCUGUGAUUUCUAAUCAAGUCUCAAGUGAUCCAUGUGUUGGUGCUGUUGCUUGGUCUCCUCCUCGAGUGGGCUGGCUUAAAUGUAACACUGAUGCUGCAGUGUUUGCUAACGAGGGAAGAGUUGGGCUGGGCAGUGUUAUCCGUGAUGAAUCUGGAAAAUUUGUUGCUGCUCUCUGUUGUAAUAUCAGGGGAAACUAUUCUCCUCGUGAUGCUGAGGUCCUUAGCAUUCGUGAAGCUCUCUCUUGGCUGAAGUCUAUGAAGUUGUCAAAGGUUAUCGUUGAAACUGAUUGCCUUCAAGCGUUUAAUGCUCUAGUCGAUCGAAAGUGUCCUCUAAAUAGCUUUGGCUCAUUAGUUUUGGAUUGCAAAUGUAUUGCUGAUUCUAUAGGUGAUAUUGCUUUCUCUUUCGUCAGAAGAUCUGCGAAUUCUGCUUCUCACUUUGUUGCUAGAGCGGGGAAUUCUUUGCCAGGUCGUGAAGUGUGGCGUUCUGUGCCACCUUCUUGGUUAAUUUCAGUGCUGUAAUUGCUGGUUUUGUUAAUGAAAUUGCACUUUCCAUCAAAAAAAAAAAAAAUAUUGUAAUAAGAAAAUUGUUCUCUUAAGAACUCGCACUAGAAUAUUCAUAACUUAAAGAAUUUCGUUGAAAGACAAAAUUAAACUAAAAGUAAAGAAUUAUAAUCCAACUAAAAUCAUACACUUCGAUCAAGCUAUAAAACACCAUUAAGUUGACAAUCCUUUAUUGACAAUCUUUUAGGGAACCGAAUGAUGUGAUGCUUUGCAGACGGCUUCUACAGAGAGAAGAAUUAUUCAAGAAAAGAAUUAUCAAUUCUUCCAAGUUACUGGAGAGUUAAUUUACAAUUUAUUAUUAACUUGUUUUGAUUAAUUAGCUUAAGUAAGAAUCACUGUUGCCGUAAAAUUAUUAUACCCAAGGGCAGGAGUCUUGAUGAAUGGGAAUGAUAUCUCAUUUAGCUCAACACCUUGCUUCUAUCUCCUAUUUUAAUUUUUCAUAGGACACAGGGUAUUCAGCUUCCUUAAACCUCUGCAAUCUGUUUAAUUAUAUAGGAUAAGACUAGAGAAAGUAAAAAAUCAUUGUCUAAAUUUAGAGCUAAACUCCAGAUAUAAAAUUUUCAUUUCAUUAUUCAAUAUUUUAGGGACCGUUAGAUUGUCAAUUUCAUUGAAGCUCAUCUCCAAUUCCGGUGCUCGAGGAAUGAAAUUCUGCAUAUGCAAUUUUUUUUUCUUUAAAAAGCCAAAUAACUUUAGUAAUCGCAUGUAUUAAUUUUUUUUCCCUGAAAGGAAGAAAUUUUAAUAAAUAAUCAAUAAUUAAGUUAUUUUUACAUCAGAACAUGAUAAUAAUAUUAAUUUAAUAAAUAAAUCUUAACGAGAGCACAAACAUGUGACUGGCCACUAAUUGGAAAUUAGGAUUUACAAAAAGUUUUUCUUCAAAUCCUGAAGGAUUGGAGCGGCCGUGAUCCUGCAUGCUCUUUCUGAGGGAUGAACAGAGUCCCAAAAAAAAAAUUUAGAAACAUUAGCACAUGUGAAUGGAGUUAUCUUGUUACAAAGUAUCGCUGUCUCAACAGUUCCAGUGCCGCAACAUGAUCUAUCCGAGACACUAAAGCCUGAAAUUUUUCAUCAAAUAACAAACAUGUUAAGUUUUAGUUUGCUGAAGUGCUAUGAUUGCAUAGUCUCAGUACGUAAUUUAAGUCAUAAACCACGUGAUAUUACAAAUGAUUUGACAUCUGAUAUGUCAGUUAUUAAUUAAUAGGUUUUAAAAAAUUACCAUGUCACUUAAAAUACAAACUAUGUAGAAUGAUUUACCUGACUUCACCGGAUUACUGAUGAGAUAAAGCAAAGGGUUGUAGAAGUCAACGUAGACAAUCUUAGCUUGGGGAAGGGAGCUGUUGAGAUUCUUUACCUCAGCCAACAGCUUGGAGUUGAAUAACUCUGCUGCUUUGUUAUCAUCAUCUGCGCAAGAUCUCAUUAGCCCCCCAUGUAGAGUUCUGAAUAUCGGUAAACAGCCCACUGGCAUUGUACUAAAUAUAGCAAUUUUCCGUACUCCGACCCCAUAUAAAUCCUUAAUGAUAGUGGAAGUCCAGCUAACUAACAUAGAAGUGUAAGUAGAAAUAUCAUAUUUUUUAACUCUUAAGACACUAUAGUUGAUUCCAAGGUCAUUGUUCCCCGCAGACAAUAGAAACAGGCUUUUGGAUAUGACUUUGUUUGCGCCCUCUUCUCCAACAACCCCUUUAAGCUUUCCUAUGUACUCUUUGAAGUUUUUUAAUUGACCAGAUAUUGGUAUAGCUGACGUUAUACUAGAUGUUAAGGGAUCCAAUCCUGAGCCACCUGAGGCAAAGCAUACGCCCGUUGCGAGAUCCUUACUUUGCAGAUUUGGGUCGAGGUACGCCGGCACAGUCUCUUUAAUUCCUAAACCUUCAGCUAAUAAAUCAGUGAGAACUUUGCCAUCGCUAAAUCUUCCCGUGAGUUUUCCACCAAUGAAAUCUUUUCCGUAUGGAGGGAAAUUACACUUUGCCAGCGAAAUCAGGUUGUUGUUGUUGCCUGUAUCAAGGAUUGAAUCUCCAAACGCUAUGAGUGCUGGAACUUUUUCAUUUUCUCGCAAUUGUCGCUUUCUAGAUGCCACUAUACGAUACAUCCACAAAACAAUUAUAAAAAUGGAAACAAACUUCUGUAAGUUGCCCAAAAUUCUCGAAUAUGGAUGCUUAAAUGCAGAUUCGUUAUUUUAUUAUAUGUCGUUAUAGUUAAUUGAACAAAAAUACGCUAACACCAUAUAGUGGAAUAACAAAUUCACACAAAGUUGAUCUAUUAAUAACUUAAGACAAAUUAAACAUGAGAACUGUAUAUUUAAUUUGUGUAAACCAAAAGAAUUGAUUAAUUAAUACAUAGAAUAAAUAAUAAAAUUUGGUCUAAUGUACUAAUGAAAUGUGGGUAAACUUCAAUUUACCCUCUACUUAAAAUGAAAAUCUUCAAUUUGUACCUAAAAGUAUGAAAACAUAAAUUUACUCUCAUUCAUUGUUAAGAAGAUUAAAAAUAAAAUAAAAUCAUCAAUUCGACCCCAUUUAGUAUAACGAAAAUGCCAUUUAGUAUAAUGAAAAUGGGGGUAAAUCGAAGUUUUCAUACUUUUUAGGAUAAAUUAAAGAUUGUCAUUAUAUCGAAGGGAUACAUUAAAUUUUAUCCUUAAAAUAUUAAGUUUAUGUCAAGCAAUAUAUAUAUAUAUAUAUCCAAUUAGGAAUUUUAAAGUGCGGAAAAAUCCAAAAAAAUGCAUAAACCAUGUUGUUUAAGCAUUUGAAGUUUUAAGCAUCUCUUAAACCCACGGUUUUAAAGCUUUCCCCAAAUUUUUCCGUAAUUUAAAAUCUCGAGCUAAAAGAUAUAUAUAUAUAUAUUCCAAUCAGAAAUUUUAAAGUGCGGAAAAAUCUAAAAAAAUGCAUAAACCAUGUUGUUUAAACAUUUCAAGUUUUAAACCUCUUAAACUCACGGUUUAAAAACUUUCCCCAACUUUUCUCACAAUUUAAAAUCUCGAGCUAAAAGGUACUAUAUAUAUAUCGCAGAUAAAAUGAGCGUAAGAACGUUAAUGAAAGAUCCACGGAGAUAGGAGAAUAGAUGGCGCUUAAUUACGUUUAACAUCAAUACUUCCUUCGAAUCUAUUAUAAGCCAGUGAUAGGCUUCUUAAUGACGAAAGGCCAGAUAGAGAUGAUAAGAUGCUGUUGUUGAAAGAGUUAUAACUUAAAUCAAGAAACUUCAGGUUCGUCAACCUUGAUAGCCACUGUAGCCCUGCAAACGAAUUGAAUUAUCAAAUACAAAACGGAUCAUAUAUACUUGAGCUACAUAUUUAUUCAGGGGAAAUCUUUAGGAGAUAUUGUUACAAAUUAGCUAUUCUACUAAAUUUCAUUAAGCACAUACCUUCAUUCUCAAUACAGCCGGCUAUGUUGUUGUAGCUUAAAUCAAGCAACUCCAGUUGUUGAAAGGGCGUAAAAAAAGAAGCAUUGAGACACCUGUCUGCCAGUUCCCUACUCCUAGUGCGAUAAAAUGCAGUGCAAUCACUCCGCCAGUGGUGGUGUUGCACUCAACACGUUCCCACUGACAACAAUCUGAAUAAUUCUCAUGAUCCACCCAUUUUUGAAGAUAAUUAUGGGGAUCAUUAAAGAAAUUAUGUUUAAGAUGGAGGAGAGCCGAUCUCUCUAGCUCCAGACAUCCCUCAGCACACCACCACCCAAAAUCUAAUAUUACUGAUAACAAGGAAAUUAAGAAUAUCAUCACCAUUUUUGAACCACCCACCAUCAUAUAUCUCAGUUAGUAAUAAAAUACACUCUUUGGAUUUACGUUCAAAAAGAAGAAAGGCUCUGCGCUAUUUAUAAUAUGAGUACUGGUGUUCAUUUAGAAAAAAUUUCUAGAGUCGCCACAGAUCACACUUUAAUACUAUAUGUUGUUACAUUUAAUUGAAAAAUAACGUUAAAAAAGAUUGUGUUAAAGUUAAUUUGAAAAUAAUAAAAGAAAUACAUUAGUAUUAUAAAGUUUUAAAUUGUUUUUAUGACGGUUCUAUAACCAUUGUGAAUAAAUAUUAUUUUUCUUAUAAUAUACCUAACCAAGUCUUUUUGAUCCAAUGUGCUGGAUAAACUUAAUUGACUUAAUUAAAGUGACAACUGUAUAACGGGGAAGAUGUUUUACAUAAUUAUACAAUAUUAUAUUUGUUUAUCGGAUUGCUUUGAAUCAACGCGCAUCCAAAAAUUUCAACUUGCCUCUCGUUAACUUUCCACUCGACUAGAAUUUUCCUCUCGGCUAGAAAUUAUAGGUACUCAAUUAUUUUUUCGAAAAGCAGCCAGUUAGCGGAAUCCACAAGUUUUAAUUAUGUUCUGUUUAUUCUACGGCUUUCCCGUAAUUUGUAUGAAUAAACGGAAGUGAUGAAGAGAGCCGUAGAUAUCGAAUCUCAAGUCACGAGACUUCAAAGUCAGUCGAUCACCAAUACUCAAAAAAAAUUUUUGAGCUAUAAUAUAAUCAAUAAGAUAGAUAAGUUAAUUAUUUAAUCAUCUUUGUUUUCUAGCAUCGUAAGAAGCCUAUUUAUAAAUGAUAUUUAAUUAACUUUUUCUAGUUCAAAAAGCCAAAACAUAUAUUAUGUAGUGUCAGGAAUAUCUAAAGUAAUCUUAAAAUUCUAAAGAAUUAAUCAUUCUCCCAAAUAACUUUAGAAAAAUAUUUUACUCAUUUUUAAACCUUUAAUAUAACAUAGCAUAUAUUUUUUGCAAUAUACAGAUAAUUAUUACUAUUUGAAGACAAGUUCCUGAAGAUGAGAUCUAGAAAAUAAUAAUUUUUUUAGAAUGUAGAAUUUAUUCUUAUUUGUAACUGACCCAAAUUGAGACUCAGGUGGCAUUUGUUUUUUUGUCUGAAUUCUGAAUAGAUCUGAAUUAGUUUGAAUUUUGAAUAGAACUGAAUGCUUGAAUCUUAAUGACAUGUUUAUUUUUUUUGUCUGAAUCACUAAAAAUAAAUACUAAGUUGUUUGUUUUUUAAAUUUAAAAAAUCUGAGAACUAAUACUUUUUACAUUUAUACCCUUACAAAUUAUAAAUGUUAAGUAAAUAAUAAACAUCUCAAAGAAUAUAAAUAAGAUAAUAGAUUAUCAUAACAUAUAUCAUAUUCAAUUGAAUACAACUCUUUAAUAUUCUAUAUCAUAUAUGUUAAUCAAUUUUAUAAUAAUUUAUGAUUUUUUAUAUGAAAAUAUUCAUAAUAAUUAUGAAAAUAAAUAAUUCUAGUUUCAAAAAAAUAAAAAAGAUAAAAAUUAUAAUAGUCUACCACUAUAUAUUAGCAUAAGUUAUAUAGAGAUAGGUAAUAAUGCUAAUUAUUAAAUCUUAUUUAGAUAAGGAUGAAAAUUAAUUAAUUAGAUAGGGGUAUUUUGGAGAUUAUCUUUUGAUGAUAUUAUUAAGUCUUUUUAGAUUAAGCAAAAAGUUAAAAAAAAUUAGCUUAAUAACUUAUUGACUUAAUGGCUAAAUAUUUUCAUGAAGUUGAAAUACAAAAUGACUUAAUUGAUUAAAAUUCAGUCAAUUAAGUUAUUAAAUAAAAAAAGGCCCCUAAAAGUUUUCAUAAUUACAUGAAUAUUAUUCUUAUAUAUACUAUCACUAUAGAGAGGUUGUAUUGUAAUGGGUUUGAGUUUCCAUAACCAUCAAAUUUUAACAUUAUCAUAUGAUUAGGUUUUUGAGUUAAUUUUUCUGUUACAUUUGUUAGGAAUUUUAAUCAUGUUGAAGAUCUUGUAAGCAAAAAUAUCAAAUAAAUAAUAAAUAAAAAAUAGAUGGAGAGUAAAACUGAUCACACAACAUAAGAAAUUACAUGGAAAACUCCUAUACUGGAGAAAAACCACAGCCGCCAAGGAUGGUAAGAGAAAAAUCUACUAGAUGAAAAAUUAUUACAAUUACUCUAGUAUUUCCCUCAUACCAAAACACCAAUAACACCUAAUCUCUUAAUAGAUCUAUUGUUUCUCCUACACUAGAAAUUGUUUACUUGCAAAAAAUUGAUUGUUGUAUUAUAUAUCUAAACAAGUGAAACCCGACCUCCCUAUAUAUAGUGUUUAUUUCUUGUAGAAGAAGUGUUCCUUUUCUUCUACUAGUUGUACUCUUCCUUUAAUAGUCAAGUCCCAAAGGAGAAAUUAAUUAUUUUUUAUAUAGUAAUCAUACUGAAUAAGAAAACAACUGAAUAAGAAAAUCUUAGGAAAUCUCAAAAUUUAGGAUUUACAAUUACUCAUUUUAAAAAAGAGACAUAUUUCCUUAUAAUCUCCAACUUAGUGAAUUUUUCAAUUAGGCAACAAAACAUGGUCCACUGCGUAACCACAUAAUUACGUCGUCUCCACCCUCUGUACUCCACCAAAACCAUAUUCACAUAGGGCUUAUGAGAUUGGCUCCAUUAUAAGUAAAAUCUUGUCCUCUAUUCAACAAUCAUAAUUGUUUGGUUUGAGAUAAUUGUUGUUGCCCAAUUUAAAUACAAAAUAAGAAAAGUAAAGUUAAAACAUGGGAUAAUGAUCGAAUAUGAUUGUAUUUUUUUUAUAUUCCAAUGAGAACAACUAGUUUUUACUUUUUUUUAUUAAUUAAUGUCCUAAAAGAAGCAACAUUAUUUUAAAACAAUAUUAUUGUAAAAACAAACAAAAAGAAACAAAACAUAACUAUAAGUAUGUAACAAAUUUAACAGUAGUUAUUUGUUUAGUAGUUUUUAGGUAAAAUAUGGGGGUCAUUCGAUGAUGUUGUGACUAAAGUUACUGAAUCAAUACCGUAACUAAAUAUAAAUUAUGUAAAUGAAAUAUAAAAAUUGUAAAUUUGACAUAAAACUUGUAAAUCAACGUUAGCUGUAAAAUAAAACAUAAAUUUUAGAAAUUAAACAUAAGACUUGUAAAUAGAAGGUAAAAUGAGUAAAUUAAUAUAAAAUUGGUAAAUUGAUGUAUUACUAGUAAAUAAAACAAAACUUGCAAAUAAAACGUAAAACUCGUAAAUCAACAUUAAGUGCAAAAUGAAACGUAAAUUUUAGAAAUUAAAUAUAAGAUUUGUAAAUGGAAGAUAAAAUAAGUAAAUUAAUAUAUUACUAGUAAACAAAAUAAAAACUUAUAGAUAUAACUUAAAACUAGUAAAUCAACACUGUAAAAUAAAACUUUAAUUUUGGAAAUGAAACAAAAGAUUUGUAAAGAAAAGGUAAAACACAUAAAUUAUUAUAAAGCUGUAGUUACUAGUGAAGAAAAUAAAAACUUACAAAGAUAACAUAAAACUAGUAAAUCAACAUUAACCGUAAAAUAAAAUAUAUAUUUUAGAAAUGGAACAUAAGACUUGUAAAUGGAAGGUAAAACAAGUAAAUUAAUAUAAAACUAGUAAAUUAAUGUAUUAAUGUUAAAUAAAACAAAAAACUUACAAAUAUAACAUAAAACAACUAAAUCAACAUUAACGGUAAAAUAAAACAUAAAAUUUGAAAAUAGAACAUAAGACUUGUAAGAGAAAGGUAAAACAAGUAAAUUACUAUAAAACUAGUAAAUUGAUGUAUUAUUGGUAAGUAAAAUGAAACUUACAAAUACAACAUAAAAUAAGUAAAUGAACAUUAAGUGCAAAAUAAAGCAUAAAUUUUGUAGAUUAUGCCUAAAACUUAAGAAUAAUAGGUAAAAUAAGUAAAUUAAUAUAAGAGUUACUGUAAAAAAAAAAUCUCAAUUGCAAAAUAAAAACUCAUUAUAAUGUUUAUUACCUUAUAUGUUUAUUGAUUUUUUAAAUUUAAAUUGAAUAAUGCUAGUUUUGCAGUUAUGUAAUACAUGUAAUGUUUUAUUAAGGAUGAAAUUUAUUCUCAAAAUCGGAUUUUAAAAAGAUAUUAUUUUAAUAUCUUUUAUAAUUGUUGUAAGAUGAGGUUAUUUUGCAUCUUGUUACACUUCCUAAACAACAACCCUAAAUGGUCUCUAAGUACAAGUAAAAAGUUUGAAACUACAUGAAGUAUGCAUAAGAUUCAAAAUUAGAUAUAAUUUUAUUGAUAUAUCAUAUAUGUGUCUACUAAUAUAAGUUUUUUUAUUUAUUUAGUAUUUGCUUGAUCCAUAUCAAGAUAAAUAAUUAUGCUAAAUUAACUUAUGUAAUAAAUAGAUAUUAUUAUAGAAAAUGAGAAAAAAAGUAUAAAAAUAUCCUAUAAUAAAUAUAGAAUUUAUGGUUGAACUAAUUCAAUAAAACUUAUUCCACUUUUUUCAGUAUAAUUUUUUUGUUUAAUUAAUGAGUAAUUUUCUUUUGUUUAAUUAAAGAAAAUAUUUUUGUAAAUGAAAAAAUAUUUUUCGCUAAAAUUCUGUAGAAACAUUUUAAUUACUUAAAUAAUUAAUAAUCUUAUAUGAAUAUACUAGUUUUACUUUACAUUUAUUAAUUCUAUGUAUAAUUUACAAUAUGAAUUUACUAGUUUUACUUUACAUUUAUUAAUUCUAUGUAUAAUUUACAAAAUUUAUGUUUAUUUCGGUAUUGAUGUUGUAAUUUUCAUUACGGCAUUAUAGAAUUUUCUAAUGAAUUAUAUUAAAUCUAUUAUGUAAAUAUUAUUUAUUUAUUAUUUUUAUGAGAUUUGUUGUCUUGAUCACUGGUAGUUGACUUUAAUGUUAGAACGUUGCCCAGAUCGUAUUUCAGACUUUUCGUCUUCGGGACUUCUAAACUAGUUUGGAAGUCUAGAAUUGCCAUCUCUAGUUUCUCCGACCUUUCAUAAGUAUCUUGUCGAAAAAGACAACCAAAUUUGAUAAGCUCGAAUUGAAUGUUAAAUAACCAUAGUAAAAAUAUCUUUAAAACUUAAAUAUGUCAAAAUUUCAUACUUAUCGUCUACAGGUCUAGAAAUUUGGAAUAUGAUUGAAGUAGUGAUUUGUGUUAGAUAGAAGGGUUCGGAUAUUGUCACUUCAUGUUCUGUCAUAUUGUUGGCUUUCAAAGCAUUGAGCCAAAUCUUGGCAUUUAAGCAUUAUCGAGUCAUAUGUAGUGCAAAUUCUGAUCCUUUUGUCUAAAGAUUCCAACUUAAUGAAAAAAUUUCAUGACUUUUAGUUAAUUUUUCAUGCUUGAGACAUAUCAUUUUUCAUAGUAUUAAUGUAUAGGGACUAAAUAAAUAAUUUUCUCUAUUAUUUUUAUCUUUUUAUUUUCUUCAAAUUAACAUUAUUUAUGUUUUAUAGUUUUUAUGAAUAUUUUAUAUAAAAACAUUGUAAAUUAUGAUAAAAUUGUUUUAAAUUUGUAAGGGUAUAAAUAUAAAAAUAUUAGUUUUUAAAAUUUUUAAAUUAUAAAAAAAUAACUUAAUACUUACUUUCAAAGACACACGUUAAAAAAAAAAAUCAAAACAUGCCCGUUAGAUCUAAGUCUUCAACUCUAAUCAAAAUUCAAAGUAAUUUAAGUUAAUUUAAAUUUCAAACAAAAGUACGAAUGCCACCUAGGAAACGAGAAAGGCUUAACCAGGAGUAUGUUACAUAGUUAUACAAUAUUAUAUUUAUUUAUAAUUUUUUGCCUUAAUUUUCUUCUCCAAGUUCCUUUAUGUAUAAUCAAUCACUUCAAUUUCCACAUCUUUUAGAAGUCUUUAGAAUUGGCGAAAACUUAUAUGAUAAGUCCUUUUUUUAAAAUCUAUUUUAACAUUCUUUUGCAUAUUGGUCUACACAUCCAAAAUUAAAUUGGACAUUUUUUGCAUUUUGUAGAAAAUUCUAUUUUAUUUGGAGCAUAGCUAUUUUAAAAAUAUUUUAAUAAAAGAUAAUAAAAACACAUUCAAAAUGACGUCAUUUUUUUCAUUUAUUUUCCAAAACACGCAAAAAAAAAACAAAGAUUGAGUGUGUUUUUGACACGCUUUUUCAGGUUUAAUUCACUUAACAUUUUCUACACGUCCAGAAAUUAAAGUUGAUUUUUUAUUUUUUAUUUUUUUGUGUGGCGGCCAGUGGAAUCCAGACGUUUUAAUUAACGUUCUUUGACUUUUCAUUACAUGUAAAAAUUCCAACCUUCCAAUGAAACGUUUACGUAGUGGCGUCAACUCGCUUAGAAAAUCAAUGAUUAUUUUUUGGAGGUUAAAGAAUAAUUUUUGUUAAAUCCAUUAUUUAUAAAGUUAGUAUUUUAUGAUAAGUUUAAUUAAAUUAGAAUUUUAUUUAUUGUAUAUCUUGUAAUAGAGAUUAAUUUAUUAGUUUUUGAAUUUAGUGAUAUUCCAAUUUAUUAGGAUUAUUUGUUUCCUAGUUUUAAUAGAUGUCAAAUUUAGCAAGUCAAUUAAUGAUAGAAUUUUAUAAUUGGCGUGUAAGAUUUAUUUAGAGGAAGAAGUUGGUUCAAACAUGAAGUUUAUUAAAUAUUCUAGAUAUUUCUUGGGAGACAAGCAAGGAAAAAAUAUCAGAUUUAUUUCGAUUCAGAUUCAUAAGAAUUAUAAGAAAAAAGAAACUCUUAUUUGGAAAGAAUCAAAAUCUUUUAAGACUUACAAGUUUUGUGAAACCCUAGUGCCUAUAUAAAGAGAGGUAUUUCACAAU